UUUUUUUUGGUUAUGUUUCCUUUCCUACUUUUGUUUUUAUUCUAUUUCUUUUCUGUUUUUCUUUUAUUUUAGUUUUAUAAAAUUACCACUAGUGCCUAAUUUGUAUUAACCAAUAAACUACUACGAGAUUAAUUCUUAACGCAUAAUAAAAUAGUGUUAGCAUUUUAUAAAUUCAAUAGGCCUUUGUUUAAUUGUCUUCACUAUUGUUUUAAUUGUUUUAGGGCCUUUAAACAUUUUAUCAAAGUUUGGUUGCUCCACCAUAAUUAUCUAUGCAAUAUUUGGUUCACUCCGAACAUUUUAGUUUUAAUAUUUGAAAACUUUUAUUGUUUGCCUAUUUUUGAAUUUGAAUUUGAAUCGGUUUCGAACUAACUCGAGAUCAGCAACUAUAAACGAGGUGACGUGGCACCAUUAGCAGAGGAUCACUGUAGCUUAAUUACCCGGGCGUCACAUAUGGUGGCUGCCAGCAUGGGAGCAUAUCCACUCUUGAGCCAGCCAGGUGAUCGCCACCCACCGAGCGCCAGUAGUUAGGGGCAAAUGAGAAGCCAAAGAUGAGGUGAUCGAUAGUCUUCUCAACAAAAUGGCAGGCAGGGCAACCACUAGCUCCAGAGUUGAUGAUUCCUUUCUUCAGAAGGCCAUCUGGCAUGUGGAUUCCUUUCUUCACUAGUGCCUAGCCGAAAAAAUGCACCUUGGAUGGAGCUAGGCACUCCUAGAUGAAUGAGGCAAAAGGACAGACGAUGCCACUAUAACAUUGAAGGUUGUAGACUGUAGAGUUGCGAAGAGCAUAAACCUUGGGACUUCCUUGUGCGUCGCACAAGCACCCAAUAGUCUGAUGACGAGGAUGGCACAUGGGCGCACAUGGCUUGAAGCAGCUAGGCAUAUGGACCUCGAUGAGCCUAGAGAGGUGUGGUAUGAGAGCACUAUUCAUCCCCCUAUGGAAGACUUGCGACACCAAGAGAUCUUGCCCUUAUGCAUAGGAGAACAGAACUGGAAGUGCCACGCACAAGGGCCCGAUGGAUAGCCAGUUGUCCCUCCAAAAGGAGGUAUGACAACCAUCCUUGAGAACCACCAAGGAAAUUGCUCUGCAUAGUGAAAGAAGAGCGCAGUGAGUCCUACAGUGUAGUCCAAGAUUGAUGGUCAUGACAACAGACACUGCUCGGCCCCCGACCUCCAAGUAGACCCACCGAGCCCACAGCAAGGCGUCUGGGAAGUGGAGGCCGUGUAGCAGGUUGACAAGCAGACACUCAUUUUGCAUGGCGAGGUCGUGAACACCCAACCCCUCGUCUUGCUCAGGGUGGCCUAAUCCCAGGUGACAAGGCGCUAAGCGCCCAAGGCGUGGUCUCUAACCGUCCAGAGGAAUCCGCGUUGAAGGGAGUCAAUCACCCGGAGCACCGAGGAUGGGAGCUCUAGCGCAGUCGUGGCAUAUAUGGGGACCACCCCCAGGACUGCAUUGAGAAACACGAGGCAUCCGUCUAGGGAUAGUAGGAUCAUCUACCAGUCAGACAGAUACUUGUCCACCUAAUUAAGCAAUCAGAGGCUCGAGGCAUCGAGGUGCAGCUUGUUCCAGGACAGAGGGGGCCAGGUAGGUUUGGGGGAAGCCCUGCAUGUUGCAUCCCAGGAUGACCGUGAUCUUAGAGAGAACCCCAACGUCCACAUGCAUCAGAACAAAGUUACUCUUAUGGACGUUGAUGACGAGCUUGUUCACAACAACAAUUGGUCCUGGAUGAGCUUCGGGCAAGUGGUGGAUGGGACAUCAGCAUGCAUAAGGAUCAACAUGUCGUUGGUGAACUGCAGGACCGACAACCGACCCCAGCCGACAAGAGGGUGGGAAAGCACAUUGCCCUUCUCGUUCAUUUCUUGGAGAAUGUCAACCACCAGAAGCAAGAAGUAGGGAAAGGGGAUCUAUGUGGCACAAACCUCUUUUGCACCCAAUCCAACUACCUGGAACCCCAUUCAAAAGAACUGAGGACCUCCAGUUGGAAGACAGCCUCCAUGCAAGCGCACCACUAAGUUGGGAAGCCUCUGACCUCCAUGUUCACGCACAAAAAAAAUUCUAGUUAGUGGAGUCAAAAGUUUUAGAAGUAGAGUUUGAGGACGAGGAUGGGAGCCCCGCAUCGUUGGCAGCACUGCACAACCUCAAUGGUGUAGACAAAGUUUUUGGCGGUGCUACGUCGACCAAUGAAGCUGGAUUAGUCCUAAUCGACCAGGGGGAGAUUUUCUCUAGAGCCAUGAGGUGAGGCACUUGCAUAGCCCUUUCGUGCUGUAGUUUUGGAGGGAGGUAAGAUGGUAGCCCUCGGGAUCAGGGUGCCAGCUGCCUUGGGUGGCAGGUGUUAGGGAACAUUGCAGAAAAUAAAAAAAAUCCUACAUUUCAUCAAGAUCAAUCUAUGAGUUCAUCUAGCAAUGAGAGAGAGAGGACUGCAUCUACAUACCCUUGUAGAUCGCGAGCGGAAGCGUUCAAGAGAACGGGGUUGAGGGAGUCAUACUCGUCGUGAUCCAAAUCACCGGAGAUCCUAGCGCCGAACGGACGACACCUCCGUGUUCAACACACGUACGGUUGAGGAAGACGUCUCCUCCUUCUUGAUCCAGCAAGGGGGAAGGAGAGGUUGAUGAAGAUCCAGCAGCACGACGACGUGGUGGUGGAUGCAGCAGUGUUCUCGGUAGGGCUUCGCCAAGCUUCUGCGAGAGGGAGAGGUGUAGCAAGGGGAGAGGGAGGCGCCAAGAGCAUGGGUGUGGCUGCCCUCCCUCCCCCCUAUUUAUAUAGGCCCCCUAGGAGGGGCGCCGGCCCUAGGAGAUGAUAUCUCCAAGGGGGGGCGGCCAGGGGGUGGCUUGCCCCCCAAGGCAAGUGGAGGCGCCCCCCACCCCUAGGGUUUCCAACCCUAGGCGCAGGGAGGGCCCAAGGGGGGCGCACCAGCCCACCAGGGGCUGGUUCCCCUCCCACUUCAGCCCAUGGGGCCCUCCGGGAUAGGUGGCCCCAACCGGUGGACCCCCGAGACCCUUCCGGUGGUCCCGGUACAAUAUCGGUAACCCCCGAAACUUUACCGAUGGCCGAAACUUCACUUCCUAUAUAUAAUUCUUUACCUACGGACCAUUCCGGAACUCCUCGUGAUGUCCGGGAUCUCAUCCGGGACUUCGAACAACUUUCGGUUUACUGCAUACUCAUAUCUCUACAACCCUAGCGUCACCGAACCUUAAGUGUGUAGACCCUACGGGUUCGGGAGACAUGCAGACAUGAUCGAGAUGCCUCUCCGGUCAAUAACCAAUAGCGGGAUCUGGAUACCCAUUUUGGAUCCCACAUGCUCCUCGAUGAUCUCAUCGGAUGAACCAUGAUGUCGAGGACUCAAGCAAUCCCGUAUACAAUUCCCUUUGUCAAUCGGUACGUUACAUGCCCGAGAUUCGAUCAUCGGUAUCCCAAUACCUCGUUUAAUCUCGUUACUGACAAGUCACUUUACUCAUACCGUAAUGCAUGAUCCCGUGACCAGACACUUGGUCACAUUGAGCUCAUUAUGAUGAUGCAUUACCGAGUGGGCCCAGAGAUACCUCUCCGUCAUACGGAGUGACAAAUCCCAGUCUCGAUUCGUGCCAACCCAACAGACACUUUCGAAGAUAGCCGUAGUGCACCUUUAUAGUCACCCAGUUACGUUGUGACGUUUGGCACACCCAAAGCACUCCUACGGUAUCCAGGAGUUGCACAAUCUCAUGGCUAAGGAAAUGAUACUUGACAUUUGGAAAAGCUCUAGCUAAACGAACUACACGAUCUUUGAGCUAUGCUUAGGAUUGGGUCUUGUCCAUCACAUCAUUCUCCUAAUGAUGUGAUCCCAUUAUCAAUGACAUCCAAUGUCCAUAAUCAGGAAACCAUGACUAUCUGUCGAUCAACAAGCUAGUCAACUAGAGGCUCACUAGGGACAUGUUGUGGUCUAUGUAUUCACACGUGUAUUACGAUUUCCGGAUAACACAAUUAUAGCAUGAAUAACAGACAAUUAUCAUGAACAAAGAAAUAUAAUAAUAACCAUUUUAUUAUUGCCUCUAGGGCAUAUCUCCAAUAGUCUCCCACUUGCACUAGAGUCAAUCAUCUAGUUACAUUGUGAUGAAUCAAACACCCAUGGAAUUCUGGUGUUGAUCAUGUUUUGCCCUAGGGAGAGGUUUAGUCAACGGAUCUACUACAUUCAGGUCCGUAUGUACUUUACAAAUAUCUAUGUCUCCAUCUUGAACAUUUUCACGAAUGGAGUUGAAGCGACGCUUGAUGUGCCUGGUCUUCUUGUGAAACCUGGGCUCCUUGGCAAGUGCAAUAGCUCCAGUGUUGUCAUAGAAGAGUUUGAUCGGCCCCGAUGCAUUGGGUAUGACUCCUAAGUCGGUGAUGAACUCCUUCACCCCAGAUUGCUUCAUGCACUGCCUCCGAGGCUGCGAUGUACUCUGCUUCACAUGUAGAUCCCGCCACGACGCUUUGCUUGCAACUGCACCAGCUUACUGCCCCACCAUUCAAAAUAUAUACAUAUCCGGUUUGUGACUUAGAGUCAUCCAGAUCGUGUCGAAGCUAGCGUCGACGUAACCCUUUACGACGAGCUCUUCGUCACCUCCAUACACGAGAAACAUGUCCUUAGUCCUUUUCAGGUACUUCAGGAUAUUCUUGACAGCUGUCCAGUGUUCCUUGCCGGGAUUACUUUGGUACCUUCCUACCAAACUUAUGGUAAGGUUUACAUCAGGUCUGGUACACAACAUGGCAUACAUAAUAGACCCUAUGGCUGAGGCAUAGGGGAUGACACUCAUCUCUUCUAUAUCUUCUGCCGUGGUCGGACAUUGAGCCGAGCUCAAUUUCACACCUUGUAACACAGGGAAGAACCCCUUCUUAGACUGAUCCAUAUUGAACUUCUUCAAUAUCUUAUCAAGGUAUGUGCUUUGUGAAAGACCUAUGAGGCGUCUCGAUCUAUCUCUAUAGAUCUUGAUGCCUAAUAUAUAAGCAGCUUCUCCAAGGUCCUUCAUUGAAAAACACUUAUUCGAGUAGGCCUUAAUGAUGUCCAAGAGUUCUAUAUCAUUUCCCAUCAAAAGUAUGUCAUCUACAUAUAAUAUGAGAAAUGCUACAGUGCUACCACUCACUUUCUUGUAAAUGCAGGCUUCUCCACAAGUCUGCAUAAACCCAAACGCUUUGAUCAUCUCAUCAAAGCGAAUGUUCCAACUCCGAGAUGCUUGCACCAGCCCAUAAAUGGAUCGCUGGAGCUUGCAUACCUUGUUAGCAUUCUCAGGGUCGACAAAACCUUCCGUCUGCAUCAUAUACAGUUCUUCCUUAAGAUGACCAUUAAGGAAUGCCGUUUUGACGUCUAUUUGCCAUAUCUCAUAAUCAUAGUAUGCGGCAAUUGCUAACAUGAUUCAGAUGGACUUUAGCUUCGCUACGGGAGAGAAUGUCUCAUCGUAGUCAACCCCUUGAACUUGCCGAUAACCCUUAGCGACAAGUCGAGCUUUAUAGAUGGUAAAUUAUCAUCUGCGUCCGUCUUCUUCUUAAAGAUCCAUUUGUUUUCUAUCGCUUGCCGAUCAUCGGGCAAGUCUGUCAAAGUCCAUACUUCGUUUUCAUACAUGGAUCCUAUCUCGGAUUGCAUGGCUUCAAGCCAUUUGUUGGAAUCUGGGCCCGCCAUUGCUUCUUCAUAGUUUGAAGGUUCACCGUUGUCUAACAACAUGAUUUUCAGGACAGGGUUGCCAUACCACUCUGGUGUGGAACGUGUCCUUGUGGACCUACAAAGUUCAGUAGUAACUUCAUCCGAAGUACCUUGAUCAUCAUCAUUAACUUCCUCUUCAGUUGGUGCUGGCACCAUAGGAACAUCUUCCUGAGCUGCGCUAAUCACCGGUUCAAGAGGUAGUACUUCAUCAAGUUCCACUUUCCUCCCACUUACUUCUCUCGAGAGAAACUCUUUCUCCAGAAAGGACCCGUUCUUGGCAACAAAGAUCUUGCCUUUAGAUCUAAGGUAGAAGGUAUACCCAAUGGUUUCCUUAGGGUAUCCUAUGGAGACGCAUUUUUCCGACUUGGGUUCGAGCUUUUCAGGUUGAAGUUUCUUGACAUAAGCAUCGCAUCCCCAAACUUUUAGAAACGACAGCUUAGGUUUCUUCCCAAACCAUAAUUCAUACGGUGUCGUCUCAACGGAUUUAGACGGUGCCCUAUUUAAAGUGAAUGUAGCUGUCUCUAGAGUGUAUCCCCAAAAAGAUAGCGGUAAAUCGGUAAGAGACAUCAUAGAUCGCACCAUAUCCAAUAAAGUGCGAUUACGACGUUCGGACACACCGUUACGCUGAGGUGUUCCAGGCGGCGUGAGUUGUGAAACGAUUCCACAUUUCCUUAAGUGCGUACCAAAUUCGUGACUUAAAUAUUCUCGUCCACGAUCUGAUCGUAGGAACUUUAUCUUUCGGUCACGUUGAUUCUCUACCUCAUUCUGAAAUUCCUUGAACUUUUCAAAGGUCUCAGACUUGUGUUUCAUCAAGUAUACAUACCCAUAUCUACUCAAGUCGUCAGUGAGAGUGAGAACAUAAUGAUAUCCUGCGCGAGCCUCAACGCUCAUUGGACCGCACACAUCAGUAUGUAUGAUUUCCAAUAAGUUGGUUGCUCGCUCCAUUGUUCCGGAGAACGGAGUCUUGGUCAUUUUGCCCAUGAGGCAUGGUUCGCAUGUGUCAAAUGAUUCAUAAUCGAGAGACUCUAAAAGUCCAUCAGCAUGGAGCUUCUUCAUGCGCUUGACACCAAUGUGACCAAGGCGGCAGUGCCACAAGUAUGUGGGACUAUCGUUAUCAACUUUACAUCUUUUGGUAUUCACACUAUGAAUAUGUGUAACAUCACGUUUGAGAUUCAUUAAGAAUAAACCAUUGACCAUCGGGGCAUGACCAUAAAACAUAUCUCUCAUAUAAAUAGAACAACCAUUAUUCUUGGAUUUCAAUGAGUAGCCAUCUUGUAUUAAAUGAGAUCCAGAUACAAUGUUCAUGCUCAAACUUGGCACUAAAUAACAAUUAUUGAGGUUUAAAACUAAUCACAUAGGUAAAUGUAGAGGCAGCAUGCCGACGGCGAUCACAUCGACCUUGGAACCAUUCCCGACGCGCAUCGUCACCUCGUCCUUCGCCAGUCUCCGUUUAUUCUGCAGUUCCUGCUUUGAGUUACAAAUAUGAGCAACCGCACCGGUAUCAAAUACCCAGGAGCUACUACGAGUACUAGUAAGGUACACAUCAAUUACAUGUAUAUCACAUAUACCUUUAGUGUUGCCGGCCUUCUUGUCCGCUAAGUACUUGGGGCAGUUCCGCUUCCAGUGACCACUUCCCUUGCAAUAAAAGCACUCAGUCUCAGGCUUGGGUCCAUUCUUUGACUUCUUCCCGGCAACUGGCUUAUCGGGCGCGGAAACUCCCUUGCCGUCCUUCUUGAAGUUCUUCUUACCCUUGCCUUUCUUGAACUUAGUGGUUUUAUUCACCAUCAACACUUGAUGUUCUUUCUUGAUCUCUACCUCUGCUGAUUUCAGCAUUGAAUAUACCUCAGGAAUGGUCUUUUCCAUCCCCUACAUAUUGAAGUUCAUCACAAAGCUCUUGUAGCUCGGUGGAAGCGACUGGAGGAUUCUGUCAAUAACCGCGUCAUCCGGGAGAUUAACUCCCAGCUGAGUCAAGCGGUUGUGCAACCCAGACAUCUUGAGUAUGUGCUCACUGACAGAACUAUUUUCCUCCAUCUUACAACUAAAGAACUUGUCGGAGACUUCAUAUCUCUCGACCCGGGCAUGAGCUUGGAAAACCAUUUUCAGCUCUUCGAACAUCUCAUAUGCUCCGUGUUGCUCAAAACGCUUUUGGAGCCCCGGUUCUAAGCUGUAAAGCAUGCCACACUGAACGAGGGAGUAAUCAUCAGCACAAGACUGCCAAGCGUUCAUAACAUCUUCGUUCUCAGGGAUGGGUGCUUCACCUAGCAGUGCUUCUAGGACAUAAUCUUUCUUGGCAGCUAUGAGGAUGAUCCUCAGGUUCCGGACCCAGUCCGUAUAGUUGCUGCCAUCAUCUUUCAGCUUGCUUUUCUCUAGGAACACGUUGAAGUUGAGGGUAACGUGGGCCAUUUGAUCUACAAGACAUAUUGUAAAGAUUUUAGACUAAGUUCAUGAUAAUUAAGUUCAUCUAAUCAAAUUAUUUAAUGAACUCCCACUCAGAUUAGACAUCCCUCUAGUCAUCUAAGUGAUACAUGAUCUGAGUCGACUAGGCCGUGUCCGAUCAUCACGUGAGACGGACUAGUCAUCAUCGGUGAACAUCUCCAUGUUGAUCGUAUCUUCCAUAUGACUCAUGUUCGACCUUUCGGUCUCUUGUGUUCCGAGGCCAUGUCUGUACAUGCUAGGCUCGUCAAGUUAACCUAAGUGUUUAUGCAUGUGUAAAUCUGUCUUACAGCCGUUGUAUGUGAACGUUAGAAUCUAUCACACCCGAUCAUCACGUGGUGCUUCGAAACAACGAACUUUCGCAACGGCGCACAGUUAGGGGGAACACUCUCUUGAAAUUAUUAUGAGGGAUCAUCUUAUUUACUACCGUCGUUCUAAGUAAACAAGAUGCAAAAACAUGAUAAACAUCACAUGCAAUCAAAUAGUGACAUGAUAUGGCCAAUAUCAUAUUGCUCCUUUCAUCUCCAUCUUCGGGGCUCCAUGAUCAUCUUCGUCACCGGGAAGACACCAUGAUCUCCAUCAUCGUUUCUCCAUGAAGUUGCUCACAAACUAUUACUUCUACUACUAUGGCUAACGGUUUAGCAAUAAAGUAAAGUAAUUACAUGGCGUUAAAUCAUUGACACGCAUGUCAUACAAAAAUUAAGACAACUUCUAUGGCUCCCGCCGGUUGUCAUACUCAUCGACAUGCAAGUCGUGAUUCCUAUUACAAGAACAUGAUCUCAUACAUCACAUAUAUAUCAUUCAUCAUUCAUCACAACCUUUUUGGCCAUAUCACAUCACAAAUCAUAUGCUGCAAAAACAAGUUAGACGUCCUCUAAUUGUUGUUGCAUGUUUUACGUGGCUGCAAUAGGGUUCUAUCAAGAACGUUUUCUUACCUACGUUAAAGCCACAAUGUGAUUUGCCAACUUCUAUUUACCCUUCAUAAGGACCCUUUUCAUCGAAUCCGCUCCAACUAAAGUGGGAGAGACAGACACCCGCUAGCCACCUUAUGCAACUAGUGCAUGUCAGUCGGUGGAACCUGUCUCACGUAAGCGUACGUGUAAGGUCGGUCCGGGCCGCUUCAUCCCACAAUACCGCUGAAGCAAAAUAAGACUAUUAGUGGCAAGAAAGUUGACAACAUCUACGCCCACAACAAAUUUGUGUUCUACUCGUGCAAAGAGAACUACGCAUAGACCUAGCUCAUGAUGCCACUGUUGGGGAACGUUGUAGAAAAUAAAAAAUUUCCUAUGUUUCAUCAAGAGCAAUCUAUGAGUUCAUCUAGCAACGAGAGAGAGGAGUUCAUCUACAUACCCUUGUAGAUCGCGAGCGGAAGCGUUCAAGAGAACGGGGUUGAGGGAGUCGUACUCGUUGUGAUCCAAAUCACCGGAGAUCCUAGAGCCGAACGGACGGCACCUCCGCGUUCAACACACGUACGGUUGAGGAAGACGUCUCCUCCUUCUUGAUCCAUCAAGGGGGAAGGAGAGGUUGAUGAAGAUCCAGCAGCACGACGGCGUGGUGGUGGAUGCAACAGUGUUCUCGGCAGGGCUUCGCCAAGCUUCUGCGAGAGGGAGAGGUGUAGCAAGGGGAGAGGGAGGUGCCAAAAGCAUGGGUGCGGCUGCCCUCCCUCCCCCUCUUUAUAUAGGCCCCCUAGGGGGGCGCCGGCCCUAGGAGAUGGGAUCUCCCAGGGGGGCGGCGGCCAGGGGGGUGGCUUGCCCCCCAAGGCAAGUGGAGGCGCCCCCCACCCCUAGGGUUUCCAACCCUAGGCGCAGGGGGGCCCAAGAGGGGGCGCACCAGCCCACCAGGGGCUGGUUCCCCUCCCACUUCAGCCCAUGGGGCCCUCCAGGAUAGGUGGCCCCACCCGGUGGACCCCCGGGACCCUUCCGGUGGUCCCGGUACAAUACCGGUAACCCCCGAAACUUUACCGAUGGCCGAAACUUCACUUCCUAUAUAUAAUUAUUUACCUCCGGACCAUUCCGGAACUCCUCGUGACGUCCCGGAUCUCAUCCGGGACUCCGAACAACUUUCGGUUUACUGCAUACUCAUAUCUCUACAACCCUAGCGUCACCGAACCUUAAGUGUGUAGACCCUACGGGUUCGGGAGACAUGCAGACAUGACCGAGACGCCUCUCCGGUCAAUAACCAACAGCGGGAUCUGGAUACCCAUGUUGGCUCCCACAUGAUCCUCGAUGAUCUCAUCGGAUGAACCACGAUGUCGAGGACUCAAGCAAUCCCGUAUACAAUUCCCUUUGUCAAUCGGUACGUUACAUGCCCGAGAUUCGAUCGUCGGUAUCCCAAUACCUCGUUCAACCUCGUUACCGGCAAGUCACUUUACUCGUACCGUAAUGCAUGAUCCCGUGACCAGACACUUGGUCACAUUGAGCUCAUUAUGAUGAUGCAUUACCGAGUGGGCCCAGAGAUACCUCUCCGUCAUACGGAGUGACAAAUCCCAGUCUCGAUUCGUGCCAACCCAACAGACACUUUCGGAGAUACCCGUAGUGCACCUUUAUAGUCACCCAAUUACGUUGUGACGUUUGGCACACCCAAAGCACUCUACAGUAUCCGGGAGUUGCACAAUCUCAUGGUCUAAGGAAAUGAUGUUGGGGAACGUAGUAAUUUCAAAAUUUUCCUACGCACACACAAGAUCAUGGUGAUGAUAUAGCAACGAGGGGAGAGUGUUGUCUACGUACCCUCGUAGACCGAAGCGGAAGCGUUGACGCAACGUAGAGGAAGUAGUCGUACGUCCUCCGGUUCAACCGAUCCAAGUACCGUUACUCCGGCACCUCCGAGUUCUUGACACGCGUACAGCUCGAUGACGCACCCUCGAUCUCCGAUCCAGCAGAGGCGCCGAGGGGGAGUUCCGUCAGCACGACAGCGUGGUGACGAUCUUGAUGUUCUCCUGUUGCAGGGCUUCGCCUAAGCACCGCUACAAUAUGACCGAGGUGUAAUAUCGUGGAGGGGGGCACCGCACACGGCUAAGGAACGAUCAAUGAUCAACUUGUGUGUCCUAGGGUGCCCCCCUACCCCCGUAUAUAAAGGAGGGAGGGAGGAGGUGGCCGGCCCUAGGGGGGGCGCGCCAUGAGGAGGGGGAAACCUACUCCAAGUAGGUUUCCCUCUCUUUUCCUUAUCUUAUUUGGAGGGGGAAGGAAAGAGUACUAGUAUUAGGAAGUAGUACUAGUAGUAGUAAUAGGAAGAGGGGGAAGGAGAAAGGAAAGGGGGGGCCGGCCCCCCUCCCCAAUUCGGAUUGGGCUUGGGGGGGCGCGCCCCCCUCCCUUGCUCCUUCUCUCUUCCUCCUACAUGGGCCCAAUAAGGCCCAUAUACCUCCCGGGGGGUUCCGGUAACCUCCCGGGGCUCCAAACUUCUCCGGAACCUUUCCGGUGUCCAAAUAUAUCCGUCCAAUAUAUCAAUCUUUAUGUCUCGACCAUUUCGAGACUCCUCGUCAUGUCUGUAAUCAUAUCCGGGACUCCGAACAACCUUCGGUAUAUCAAAAUACAUAAACUCAUAAUAUAACUGUCAUCGAAACCUUAAGCGUGCGGACCCUACGGUUCGAGAACGAUGUAGACAUGACUGAGACACAUCUCUGGUCAAUAACCAAUAGCGGGACCUGGAUGCCCAUAUUGGUUCCUACAUAUUCUACGAAGAUCUUUAUCGGUCAAACCACAUAACAACAUACGUUGUUCCCUUUGUCAUCGGUAUGUUACUUGUCCGAGAUUCGAUCGUCGGUAUCCAAUACCUAGUUCAAUCUCGUUAUCGACAAGUCUCUUUACUCGUUCUGUAAUACUUCAUCUUAUAACUAACUCAUUAGUUACAUGCUUGCAAGGCUUAGGUGAUGAGCAUUGCCGAGAGGGCCCAGAGAUACCUCUCCAACAAUCGGAGUGACAAAACCUAAUCUCGAAUUAUGCUAACUCAACAUGUACCUUCGGAGACACCUGUAGUACUCCUUUAUAAUCACCCAGUUACGUUGUGACGUUUGGUAGUACCCAAAGUGUUCCUCCGGUAAACGGGAGUUACACAAUUCUCAUAGUUACAGGAACAUGUAUAAGUCAUGAAGGAAGCAAUAGCAGAAUACUAAACGAUCAAGUGCUAAGCUAACGGGAUGGGUCAUGUCAAUCACCUCAUUCUCCUAAUGAUGUGAUCCCAUUAAUCAAAUGACAACACAUGUCAAUGGUUAGGAAACAUAACCAUCUUUGAUUAAUGAGCUAGUCAAGUAGAGGCAUACUAGUGACUAUAUGUUUGUCUAUGUAUUCACACAUGUAUCAUGUUUCCGGUUAAUACAAUUCUAGCAUGAAUAAUAAACAUUUAUCAUGAUAUGAGGAAAUAAAUAAUAACUUUAUUAUUGCCUCUAGGGCAUAUUUCCUUCAAAUGAUACUUGACAUUUGGAAAAGCUCUAGCUAAACGAACUACAUGAUCUUUGAGCUAUGCUUAGGAUUGGGUCUUGUCCAUCACAUCAUUCUCCUAAUGAUGUGAUCCCGCUAUCAAUGACAUCCAAUGUCCAUAGUCAGGAAACCAUGACUAUCUGUCGAUCAACGAGCUAGUCAACUAGAGGCUCACUAGGGACAUGUUGUGGUCUAUGUAUUCACACGUGUAUUACGAUUUCCGGAUAACACAAUUAUAGCAUGAAUAACAGACAAUUAUCAUGAACAAAGAAAUAUAAUAAUAACCAUUUUAUUAUUGCCUCUAGGGCAUAUUUCCAACAGCAGGAUGAUGUGAGAGUGGUCUAGCCACCCUAGCUCAGCGACUCCAUCAUAAGUCAUUGAAGAGACAUUGAAUGUCAUCGGCAACGAUAGACCAAGCCACUUGUAGAAGCUGGGCUCGAGCUUGUAUGUCUGGGUACUGGUCCGGUCCAACCAUCAAAUGCGGCCCUUGAUCUCGGUUGUGGAGAAUGGGGCCAUGAGAUUGAGCCCAUACACCUGAGGCUCUCCAUGGUAGAGGGUCGAGAGGAAGAAGGUCCAGCUCGUGGGGCACUCCUCGCCCAAUAGUUGGUUGCAAAAAGCAUGCAAGGUUGCGGCUUUCGCAUCAUGCGGUACGGCAACCUCUGCCCCCAAGUUAAGCUCCUGGAUAUGGUUCUUUCGAUGGGGAUUUUCCCCUCUGUUUCUAAAAAGCCACCUACCUUUUGAUCGACAGAGAGAGCUCGGUUCUGGCAUAGAUGCAGAGGCAAUUUUCUGCAAUAAUUAGUGCCCUGGAUUAUUCAAACACAUGAAGUAAAUCAAUGAUAAACAUGCAAUCAUUAUCAUGAUAGGGUAAACCGGUGAGCAUGUUUCAAACCUUUGCAAUAAACGUGAAGGAUUUCUUCCCUGCGAUGACAGUGGAAGCAUCAUUCCGAUGAGGUAUAGGAAAAUCCUAGGAAGGAGAGGUGUUGGGGAGGAAAAGAGGGUCCGGAAGUCAAGCAUUCUUGAACAGGAAGUGUGAGGAGCAGAGUAUGGAGUUCGAUGCAGAAACUAUGAGAGGGGUGUGAUCGGAGGUCGGUGAGGAAGUGAUCUGAGAGCAGAGUUUGGGAGAGCAGUGCCCCACUAUUGUUGAGAAAAGCAAGAGCUACGGUUGGGGGUCACACCGAUUGGUGCACGUGAAACAUCAAUCUGAGAGAGGUAGCUCGAUGAGAGCUAAAUUAAAGAUAGGGGCAUUGAAAUCCGCAGUGAGCCGCGAGUCAAACUGCUCAUUGUUUUCCCCUCGAGGGUAUUGGAUGAGGUUAAAAUCCCCAAGCACCAUCCAUGGGCCUUGGAUCGAAAGGAUAAUGCCAUUCAUCUCGGCAAGUAAUUUGACAAUGAGAGUGUGGUGGGUCGGCAUAUAAACGUAGAAGGAGAUACCAAAGGUGGUUUAGGAGAACUGGGUGGUGAGGGUGAAGGCCCGGCAUGGAAAUGCAUGAGGGAGAGGGUGUGUUGGUCCCAAGCGGUGAUGAUGCCGCCACGGGAGCUACCAGUGUCACGAGUGUAGUAAGUGGGGAGGCGAUAAGGGGCGGAAAGUGCGAUAUUUGAAAGAGUCAAGGGAAACAAGUUUGCUUUCCUGAAUGCAAACAAUAUCUGGGCGAGCUUUAAAGAUAGUGUCACGAACAAUAACAUGUUUAUUGUCGUCUCUGAGACCUUGCAUGUUCCAAGAGAUAACAAAGAUACAUUUGGUGGUUGUUCUAUCCAUCCCUAGAGCUGCCACCGGCAGAUGGAAACACAUAUGAAGAACACCCAGACACGGGGUGCAACACGCAGGCCACAAAACACGACACACAGGAACACCGAACACUACAAGGAGUAAGCAAGCAGGGAACACCGGGAGGCAGAGUGCCAACACAUGGGGCCCAUGCAAGGGCGUCUGAACAUGAGCACCGUCGGGCACGCGGAGGAUGGGAUCAUGGCGGCGGCUCAUAGCCCGACACUGGCUUCAUUCCGAGCGACGAGGAGGAAGCCAAAAGGAUGUUGUCCUUUGGUCAUUUGGAUGAACUCUUUCGGCUCUUUCCUAGCAAGGCAAACAGUGCAGCGUUGGAUGACAGUGCCGUGGAUGGCCGUCGCCCCCUUCUGGAUCCAAACGAGGCGUCGAACCGUUGCCUCAGUGGAUGAGGUGGUGUCCUUCCCAUCAAUCAUUUAUAUGACACCUAAGGCGCGGCCUCAUGCAUGGCAAUGGGUGCAAGGCAACCACAGUAUUAUGGUAACUAACACAACGGCAACGAGAGGCGGCGGCGGCGCACCAUCGUUCGGGUGGAUGAAGACGGCCGAACUGCAGAGAGCUCUGUAUAGUUUCUUUAUUUUUCAAGGUGUUCGUACCUCUAUAAUGCUGAUAUGACCGUGAAUCUAUUGGCUCUUUUGGAAAUAAAAGUGCUUAGUAAAAAUGAAAUGAAAAAGCAACAAAACACCAUAUCUCUAUUUUCUUAAGCAGAGACAAAAUAUUUGUCUCAUCAGGUAAUUAAGCAGAAGAGAGUUGUCCAGCUAAUCAACGAAAAAUAGGACCAAAACCGUCACAAACCAUCGAGCGACACACACAUGAUAUCUCACACAUGCCUCAACAAAGAGGGUCUCGUUAAGAUACACUCUUACAUCAUCGUCAUCACUUCUCCCCAGCAGACAUCAACGCUCUCCCUAAACUCUGAGAAAACGACACCGACUUCACGGGAGACGGACAUCAAACCAACCCUCACCGUAGAGGCUGUGCGAAAACACAAGAAGACCCAUGUGAGCCAUCCACACCGGGAGCAGCGCACCUCCGAGGCUCCGACUCUGAGAGAGCUAUUUUCUUUGUAUAGCAAAUAAUAGCACAUAGUAUUUACAGCAAUCACGUACUUGCUGUGCAGCAUGUAUUAGUAUUUACAGCAAUCACGACCGUAUAGAUCGAUCGCACCAUAUUUUGGGUGACUGAUGCGACAUGGAUGGAUCAAACAGUUUGCUCAGAACAAGGAGGAAGGAUUAGCAGCGCACGCCUGAGACGCAGCCUUGUCCAUGGCCUCCUCACGGACGCCGGCGUUGCAGAGGUUGGCGAGCGAGCGCAUGUGCUUCAUCCCGUACUGCGUCAGCGGCCCGCACCGCUGCUGGAACGUCCACACCACAGACUUGAGGCAGUCCCAGUCAUCCACCACAGGCUGCCCCGCCGGCCGCACGGCGCCGAGGACCUUGGCACCUUCCUCUGAGCCGAAGAGGAGGCCGCCGAUGAGCUCCACGCUGCUGUCCACGCGAGACCGCCGCGCCAUCGUCUCCACCAGCCGCCUCCGCGCCUCGCCUUUCUCGGCCGACCCCUCCGCCGACCUCCGGUACUUGUGCCAGAAGUGGACGAGGUCGGCGUCCCGCUGGUUCACCCUGCCGCCCGGCAGCUGCCUGGAGGUCGAGGAGGAGCCCUGGAGGAAGGAGGCGUUGUCGUUGGCAGGAUUGGUGCCGAUGAAGAGGAAGAGGCUCUGGUCGUUGAGGCCCAGGUCGCCGUACUGCAUGACGUGGGAGCCGAGGCUGUACGUGCCGUUGGCCGACGUCCGGUCCCUGACCCGCUCGUACUGCUGCUUGAGGGACUCGGCGUUGAGGUUGUGCGCGUCGCUGUCCUCCAUCCAGGCGACGCUGUAGAGGUCGCCGAGGCAGGUGUCGUACUCGGGCGGCGGGGCGCCCUCGUCGUCGCCGGGGCAGUAGGUGCCCCAGCUGCUCUCCUCCGCGUUGGCCGCCGUGGUCGCGUACACGCUGAUGUUGCCCGGGAGGAGGCCCUCGAAGAUGCUCCCGGACUCGCAGGCCUCCAGGUAGAAGACCAGGCUCUUAUACCCGGCCCCGCCGGCGUGCUUCUUCUCCAGCGUCCGCACCAGGUCGUUCGCGUACAGGUACUCCUCGUCGCCCGGCAUCCCUGGUCGAUCCACCCGCGUCACGCCAUGUCACGACCCACGAUGCAAGAAAAGAAUAUACGAGUAAAGAGAUGGAAUGAUAUUUUACCAAGGAUCCCUGGGCCACCGUGAUCGGCGUAAUAGACGAAGAUGUGGUCGUCCGGGCCGCUGCUGACGACCUUGCCGCUGCCGCUGCCGGUGAGCUUGGACUUGUCGCCGAGCAGCGCGGCGAGGAAGUUGUUGGCGUUGACGUCUGCCCCCGUGUAGUCCUUGGGGACUCCGGCGUAGACGUCGCCGCCUUUGGGGUGGUUGAUGAUGACCCCAGGCCUGGGGUUGUCGCGGUUGCCGGCGAUGUCGUCGUACAUGAAGACGAUGAUGUUCUCGUCCUUCAGCCCGCCCUUCUUCAUGAUCUGGUACGCGUGGCAUACGUCCGCCUGCACUUACGCGAAUUCGUUGAUUAAUUAAGCAAUAUGACCGGAACAUUCUCCAUGAGAAUAAUUAAGGAGGAGUAUUUAAUAGGGGACUUGUUGCCUGCCUGGUGGCGGUAGUUGUAGUAGCCGUUGGAGCCGGCGAUGAGGACGGCCCAUCUCGUCCCGACGACGUCCUUCUCGGACGGCAGGCGGAGGAACUCGCCGGCGACGAGCAGGGCGAGCUGCGACGACAAGAAGAGGAGGAGGAGGGAUGAGCAGGGAAGGCGAGCCAUGGUGAGCUGCUGCUCUCUGCUUCAAUCAGCUCGCUCUGCGCGCCAAAAGUCAGGCCGGGUCGAGAUGCAGAAGACGAUCCUUCCCGUCUCGCUUUAUAUGAUACGACGAUGUUAACUCGCUUACAUUAAGUAAUUGAUUAUUAUUAUCAUAUCACUAAUGUUUCCGGCCGGCUUGUGUUGGGUGGAGAUCGAUUCGAUUGGAUGCACAGCGGCAGUAGAAGAGGAAUCUGCUCCAUCGGCGAUGUGAUGGACGUGCCAGCGACCAUGUGCAUCGUUUUGUUUGUUUUUGUUUUACGUGGCGUACCUGCGUACGUACAGACAUUAUUAUUGUUGCCUGGCGUGUAACCUAUCUUCAUUCAUUAACAGUGCCGUAACCGCCCUCGAACGAAAACAACAUUUGUGCAUGCUUACUUGCUUAGACGCAACAAACAGCCACACUUAUAAUUGGCUACUUGAUUUUAUUUUUUUAGCAUCAGUACAGACAUAAGCGUUCAUAUACACGCGCAUACACUCAUCCCUAUGAACAUACACACGCAUACUCUACCCCUAUGAGCACCUUCGAAAGACUGAGCCGGCAUAUCAUCUUAAGAUUUACGAAGUCACCGUAGGCGCCUCGUCGUCGAUGGGAACGUCUCCUCCCACUGAAAACGGAUCGCCGGAAAUUCUGAAAUAAAUUCAGGAAUAAUGCGAGCAUCAGGAUUUGAACCCUGGUGGGUUGGGGAUACCACUGUCCACCUAACCAACUCAACCACAGGUUGAUUCGCAAUUGGCCACUUGAUUGAUGGUAACUACUACAGCUAUGAAAUAUGGUUAAUGCAAGUACUGUAACCCGCUCAUCGCAGUAGAGCUUUCAUAUGGUUUGCACAUAGAUUUUUGUGUGUUCGUGUAGUACUCAUCGUUCAAACAACAAACAACAAUAUUGAACAUAAUAGUCUCUCAACACAUCAAAAACAAACGGUAGAAUACUAGCAUCUCACUCACACAUACAACCACACAUGCACACACGAAGAGAAAAACCGCCGCAUGGAAGAAAAACACUAAACAGAAGGACAAAAGGUGAUUUGAAAAAAAAUGCAGACAACUGACAAAAUUUUGAACUAAAACUAUGACACUUAUUUUGGAAUAGAGGAAGUAGUAAAUUCAAAAAGUUUCCCUUUGAUAUAAACUAAGCUCCACUCCUGCCUACAAUUCCAAACAAAAAUCCAAAGAGCGAACAUUUUCGAGAGUACGCCUAGGCGUACCACAGCUUUAUAGAAGGCAGAAUUUCAGUUACAAGAAAGCUAUCACUCGAUGCGAACAACGAGCGUAGCACGAACACCACAACCAACCAAACCAAAGGCAAACAACACCGCCGAGCAAGCUACAAGGCAAAAGAGCCUAUCCUAAAGUGACACAAAGCACCGCGUCUCAACCGACACCGGACACGCCCGAAGACCAACAGCUUCCGCAGAGAUUCUCUUGUCGACGCACCAUCCAUCCUUCGCGCCUGAGAGGAAAUGGCAGAUGAGUGGCAGGACUCGGUCCGCACCGGGAAGACACCGCCUUGGACACCCGACGGCGGACGUGCAUAGCGCCGCUGAGGAUCAAAAAAGGACCGCGGCGAACACCGGAGGAGAGCAACGAGGAGUCAGUCUUGUCUCCAAACACCAUGCUCCCAACAGACAAACGACGUCAAGGACGCCGCCAUCGUGCCGAUCCAUCGAAUCGAGGCUUUCGCCCGGAGACAUCCACCAACUCCAGGAGCGCGAAGAACAAGGCGAACACGCUCGGCGUCGCCUCCAAAAAGGGGAAUGACAUCCACAGGUGCCAUCGUCGCCGGCCCGGUAAAAGCCGUGCAAGAUUUUCAUCCGCGCGUCGCCCAUCACCCCACCUCCAAGGAAUUGAUAGCACUGUCCAAGAAGCUUCACACCGCAGCCACCUAUCCGGCCCAGUUUGGUUUAUCCCGAGGAGAUGCGAAAUUGGUGACUUUAUUUGGCCGGACUCAGGCGUGCUCUACUUAAAUAAUCAACAAAUCGAAGUCAGAUCAUUUUGUAAAAGGCAAAAAUUGUUGCUCGGGCUGUGUCUACGUCACGGAAUCUCAGGCUUCAAUCAAAAGCAGACAAAACAGGAGGUGCGACACGUCAGGCCAUCGAUCACACUUGAGUGCGAUCCAUACGCCACCACACCACCUAGAGACUGCGACGGCAAAGGUAAUUUGGUCUGAUGCUACAGUAAAUGUCAGCUCUGCUCAUCGGCCGUGCUUGGAGUACUAAUACUGCAACAAAUUUCUCUCUCGCUGGUUAACCACGCGGAGAAGCAAGCGAGCAAUCAAUAGCUUCCGGGCAAUUGGUACAUCUGAAAGUGACACGGUCGUUGUUGCACCCUGACGCUCCACCCUUCUCGGAAUACUCUUCCCUUUUUGUGUUCCACAGAUUACUGAUGGACCGAUCGGUGUCCCUUUCUUGUCCUCAGUUCUCAGUUUGGAUAUUUUUUUCCUGAGUGACCUCAGAGCAACUCUAGCAGACCCCGCAUCCCGUCCCGGCCCGUAAAAUAACCGCCAAAGUGCGGGUCGGGACGAAAAAACCUGCCCGAUAAGACCCCGCAUCCCACCCCGACACGCAAAUAUUUUUGUGGGACACGACAAAACUUCUCCUCCAACCUCUAGUUUCACGGGCUGGGAGGCCAACCCGAGCUCAGCCCCUAUCCGCAGCGAGAUUUGGCGGGAGGGACAUUUCUGCGCGGCCUUUCCCGCUCCCCCCACCCGCCGCCACCAUUACCCCACCACCACACGCUCCGGUGCAUCCUCCGCGGCCAUCCCUCGCCGCCAUGGACGACUCCCUGCUGACCCACGUCACCGUCGAGGUCGCGCACGCUCCUUCCCCUAGGGUCGUAACUUUUGCAAGACCCUCUUUUGCAUUUGUUAUACUAAAUUUGGCUUUUAUUUGCGCGUAAAAUUGUGUUAUGUUUGUUUGAAUUUAAACUUAUUUAUGGGAACUUAUGUCAAAUGCGAGAAUUGAGCGUUUUCUGUUUUCGGAUUGACGCGGAGGUGUCCGGACAGACUCCGCAAAAGUCAACCCGUAAAAACGUAUAUUUCGUGAAUAUCCUUUUAUAUGGGUCCGUUUGGGGGGUCUACAUCUGCGCCCGUUCGAGCGAGCCCGCAAAAACGAUUCUCCCGAACUGCAAACGCGUUUUACAGUAUGACCGAAUGCGGGAUCUGCUAAAGUUGCUCUUAGUCUGGAUACAAACACCGGGCUACCUUGACGUCUUCUUUGUGCACCACACGGGCUAGUACACGGUCCUGCGAGGACACGAGGGGCUGAUACGAGAGCCCACUUCCCCACCCCUCCUCCUUUAACAGGAGAGGGACAAUGGUUGCCUCAAAAAAAAGAGAGGCAAAAUGGAGAGAUUCGAUCCUUUUCUAAAACUUCAGCACAAAAUAAAACUGAUCUAAANNNNNNNNNNNNNNNNNNNNNNNNNNNNNNNNNNNNNNNNNNNNNNNNNNNNNNNNNNNNNNNNNNNNNNNNNNNNNNNNNNNNNNNNNNNNNNNNNNNNNNNNNNNNNNNNNNNNNNNNNNNNNNNNNNNNNNNNNNNNNNNNNNNNNNNNNNNNNNNNNNNNNNNNNNNNNNNNNNNNNNNNNNNNNNNNNNNNNNNNNNNNNNNNNNNNNNNNNNNNNNNNNNNNNNNNNNNNNNNNNNNNNNNNNNNNNNNNNNNNNNNNNNNNNNNNNNNNNNNNNNNNNNNNNNNNNNNNNNNNNNNNNNNNNNNNNNNNNNNNNNNNNNNNNNNNNNNNNNNNNNNNNNNNNNNNNNNNNNNNNNNNNNNNUAAAGAGCUCACAUUCAAUUGAGGUCUUCAAUUAAAAUUGGGUCACCCAAUUUUGACCGGGUCAACAAUUUCCCAGAGCUUCUUCAUUUCAUUCUUUUAUAUUAUGCUAUGCUUCCUAAUUUGUAAGGCCUCAUAAUUAAUUGAGGUCUUCAUAUGUCACCUAACUUUAACCAGGUCAACGAAUUUCUCAAUGAGCUCUCCCAUUCCCUAUGUUCCCUAAUUUUGAAAUUUUUCGUUCAAUUGAGAUAUCCAAUUUUGGAUAUGGUUACAAUUUUGAUCGGGCCAACGAUUUUUCAGAUCAAUCAGCAGCAACUGGCCUAUAAAAACAUAUCAAUACCGCACAUCCUCCUACCACCUAGAAAAAUAGUGCCGCAAUGUGAUACUAUAGCAUCAAUAUAGUACAUGCUGAAAUCUACGCAGAAACUUUCCAUAUAAAUGUAUGUUGGUUAGCGGAUAACACAGAUAUAACCACACCACAAAAUGCACAUCAAAUCACCGCAUUAUAAAUAAAAAUAAAGCAUUGUCCAUCGCCUGCCCCACCAGGCAAACUAAAUAUUCCAUCGAUUCCAAAAUAUAAGGGGUAUUAGUUUUCUGAUAACUCAAAAUUCUUUAACUUUGACCAAGUUCACAGCAAAAAAUAUCAAAUUCUUUAACUUUGACCAAGUUAACAGCAAAAAAUAUGGACUUCCAUGAUAUCAAACAAAAGAAGUACGAAAACUCAUUUCAUGAUGAAUCUAAUCAUGUAGAUUUGAUAUUAUGGAUUUCGAUGAAUUUCUCAAUAAAUUUGCUCAAACUUAACAAGUUUGACUUUUCAAAAACGUAAUACACCUUAUAUUUCAAAACAGAGUGGGUGAUUUUCUUUUAAGAAACACAACAACACCAGCGACGCAUCAAAGCGCACCCAACCCUUCUAGUACUAUACACUAUGCUGCCUAAUUUUUAAGGCCUCAAUUAAUGUCUUCCAUUUAUAAUUAGGUCAUCUAAUUUUGACCGGGCCAACGAUUUUUCAAGGAGUUUGCUCAUUCAAUUCUUUUAAUAUACUAUGCUCCCCAAUUUGUAUGGCCUCGCAAUUAAUUGAGGUCUUCAAUUUAGAAUUGGAAAUUCGAUUUUAAUUCGAUCAACAAUAUCUCAAGGAGCUCCCUCAUUCAAUUCUUUUAAUUCACUAUGCUCCUCAAUUUUGGAGCUCUCCCAUUCGAUUGCAACUUUGGAUCUGAUGUAUGAUUUUGAUUGCGAACUAUUUAUACAUACUAAGACUCAUCUCCCUAAUUGGCAAGGCCUCGCAAUCAAUUGAUGUCUUCAAUUUGAAAUUGGGUUAUCCGAUUAUGACCGUGCCAAUGAUUUGUCAAGAAGCACUCUCAUUCAAUUCUUUUAAUACACUAUACUGCCUAACUUUUACGGUCUCCCAAUCAACUAAAGCCUCUAAUUUAGAAUUGGGUCAUCCAAUUUUUUUCGGUUCAACAAUUUCUCAACGAGAUCUCUCAUUCAAUUAUUUUUAAUUCACUAUGCUUCCUAGUUGUGGAGCUCUUUCAUUCGAUUGCAAUUAUGGAUUUGGUCCACGAUUUUGAUCCAGACAAUGAUUUUUUAAAUAAACUAGCAACAACCGCCUAUAGAAACGUAUCAAUCCCGUGUGCCCUCUCACUACCUAGAAAAAAGCGCCACGAUAUGAUAUUGUAGCACUAAUAUAGUACACGCAGCCACCAACGCAGAAAUUUCUCCACAUAAAUAUUGGUUGAUUAGCAUAUGACAUAGAAUCACACCGCGAAAAACCCACCAAAACACCACAUUAUAUAAAUAUAAAUAAAACACACUCCAUCAUUUCUCCCACUAGAAAAACUAGAUAUUCCCUUAGAUACAAAAUAUAAGGUGUAUGCCUUUUUUUUAAAGUCAUUUUUCUUUAACAUUGACCAAGUUCAGAGCCAAAAACAUCGACAUUGAAUUAUAGCACCAAUAUAGUACAUGCUACCACCGACGCAAAAAUUUCCCCACAUAAAUAUUGAUUGAUUAGCAUAUGACACAGAAUCACACCGCGAAAGACCCACAAAAUACCAGAUUAUAUAAAUAUAAAUAAAACACACUCCAUUAUCUCUCCCACUUGUCAAACUAAAUAUUCCCGCAGUAACAAAAUAUAAGGUGUAUUCCUUUUUGGAAAGUUAAACUUCUUUACAUUGGCCAAGUUCAAAGUAAAAAAUAACGAUAUUCAUAAUACUAAAUAAAUAAAAUAUAAAAUUUCAUUUCAUGAUGAAUCUAAUGAUAUUGAAUUGAUAUUAUGGAUUUUGAUAUACUUAUCUACAAAUUUGAUCAAACUUAAAGAUGUUUGACUUUUCCAAAAUCUAAUACAACUUAUAUUCCGAAACAGAGUGAGUAAAAAAUAAUGAAAAUCCAAAAACACUAACGGCGCAACAAAGCUCUCCCAACCAUUCUAGUUUGCAUGACGCCCUAGCCUGAGGCAUCAUCUUUGAUGACACGGCAGCUACGUCUACCGCCGGUGCCGUGUUGCGUAGCUUGGCGCUCAAGGUAAAGGCUUCAUGCUAUCUAGUUUGGCACCCUAGCCCUAGACAUCAUGAAAAGGGUCAUUUUGUGAAAUAUUUUCAUAACAUGUUCAUUUCGUGUUGACGUUUCUAAAGAGGGUUAAAUCUGUUCACUUUCACAUUAGGAGACACGUGUGGAACCCCUAAAGAAAAGGAGACGAGUCUAGAAGGAGGACACGAUGGAGCAGUUGAGGCUGAUGUAGGGCAUCAUUCAGAAUGGGCACAAGACGGAGCAGAUACGGGAGAUCCAGAUCCGUCAUUGAAAACCCAUCUCCGACGCAUCAACCGGAACUAAAGAGGUUGGAGCCAAGGCCACCUUCUUGUUAUUGUCCGCCACCAUGGCGACCAAAAAAAUGGGGGGGGGAGCACCUCCAAACUUGCCAGAUCAAAUCGGUUCCCUAUCUUAUUGAAUGAGCUAUCACCGGAUUUACCACAAACCGCCGCCUUUAUCCAUGGAGAGCAAACUUGGGAGGUGCUCCCUCCUUUUUAAUUGCAUUGCGUUGGUGGGUAUCUUUUUAAUUCUUGCAUGCAAAGAUGUAAUGCGGCUUGAAAUCUCAAAAGGAGAUGGAGAUGAGCCCUUCAAAUCAGGAAAACACAUUUUUUUAUAAGCCCUCUAAACCGGAAACGAGGGAGUUGCUCUAGAGCUUUGACAUGGCACAAACACGACAUGACGCCAAUUUAAACCUGAGUAUAGCUAUUAUCUAGGAAAUGAAAAAAGGGAUGAGACCCUUGCCUAAGGCCGGGCAAGAGAGGGGAGAACCCCGAGCGGCCGAGGAAGCGGAACUCUCUAGGGGAAAGGCGAACAUCACGCGGGAAAGUGACUCCGAUAUAUUUCAUUUAGAGAGUCUCUAUUUGACGCGUAUGUAACUCAUAUUUGACACUCGUUGCAUCAAAAAGGUUUUGACGAACUUUUUUUUUCAUAAAAAACCAGGCGAAAAAAACAGGACGAAAAAACCGAACUGGGAGCAUGGUUUUUUCCCUUUUCGAAAGAGGCACGCCCGUGCCUCUGACGAAAUCACAACCGUGCCUCUCGCGAAAGCAAAACCAUGCCUCUCGCGAAAGAAAAAAAUAGAAAACUCGUUUUUUUCCCUUUCCGAAAGAGGCACGCCGUGCCUCUCGCGAAAGCACAACCGUGCUUCUCGCGAAAGCAAAACCAUGCCUCUCGUGAAAGAAAAAAAAACAAAAAAAAUCGUUUUUUUCUUUUCGAAAGAGGCAUGCCCGUGCCUCUCGCAAAAGCACAACUGUGCCUCUCGCGGAAGCAAAACUGUGCCUCUUGCGAAAGAAAAGAAAAACAGAAAACGUGUUUUUUUUCCUUUCCGAAAGAGGCACGGCCGUGCCUCUCGCGAAAGCACAACCGUGCCUCUUGUGGAAGCAAAACUGUGUCUCUCGCGAAAGGAAAAAAAACACAAAACAUGUUUUUUUUCAUUUCCAAGAGGCACGGCCGUGCCUCUCACGAAAGCACAACCAUGCCUAUGGCGAAAACAAAACCAUGACUCUCGCGAAAAAAAUGUGUUUUUUUGCGCAAAAGUUUUUUUCCGAUUUUUUUUGGUCGAAAAGCUAGGGAAGACCGGUGAAAAACCAAAACAUCAAAAAAACCCAAAAAAACCCGUUUAAAAAGCCGAAAACGCGUGCGGAAAAAUAAAAAAAUCGGAGGGAGCGCCCAGAGCGCGACAUGUGGCGAAUGACUAAGAGCGCGUCAAGUGGCGCUGAUCGUUGCGAGGCUCCCGAAGGAGCGCUCGCUAAUUAGUUGCUCCUGAAAAAUCCUACUUGCCGCUCGUUGCGCCAAGCUGUCGACGCUUCCCACAGGGAGGUGCGAGCGAGCGACCGAGUGGCCCGGCCCGUUUUAGCGUUACAGCAGACACGUUUUUUUUCUGGUUUUGGGAACCUUCUAGAAGGUUCCUUAACUGGCUUUUUUCAGUUUCUUUUUUAUUUCUUUUUUCAAUUUCUCUUAUUUUUCUUUUUCUUUUUUUUCUGGUUCUUUUCUUUNNNNNNNNNNNNNNNNNNNNNNNNNNNNNNNNNNNNNNNNNNNNNNNNNNNNNNNNNNNNNNNNNNNNNNNNNNNNNNNNNNNNNNNNNNNNNNNNNNNNNNNNNNNNNNNNNNNNNNNNNNNNNNNNNNNNNNNNNNNNNNNNNNNNNNNNNNNNNNNNNNNNNNNNNNNNNNNNNNNNNNNNNNNNNNNNNNNNNNNNNNNNNNNNNNNNNNNNNNNNNNNNNNNNNNNNNNNNNNNNNNNNNNNNNNNNNNNNNNNNNNNNNNNNNNNNNNNNNNNNNNNNNNNNNNNNNNNNNNNNNNNNNNNNNNNNNNNNNNNNNNNNNNNNNNNNNNNNNNNNNNNNNNNNNNNNNNNNNNNNNNNNNNNNNNNNNNNNNNNNNNNNNNNNNNNNNNNNNNNNCUUUUUUCUUUUCAAGUUAUUUUCAGAAAAAUCAGAAUUUCAUUUUUUCCUAUUUUUCAGAUUUUGUUCACAAAUCCAAAAAAUGUUCCCAUUUUACAAAAAGAAUUCAUAAAUUUAAAAAAUGUGUAAAAUAUUCGUUCCGAAUUUUCAGAAAAUUUCCCUGUUUUUUAAAAAAUUGUUUGAAUGUUUUUUGUUAAUUUUGUGAGAAAUUUGAAAAUAAUGGCAUGGAUUUCAAAAAAUGCCUGUUUUCAAAAAUUCUUCACAAAUUUCAAAAAAUGUUCUUAUUUUUCAAAAUUUUAUUCACGUAUUAAAAAAUUGUUCACAUUUCAAAUUUGUUUGGGAUUUUCAAUUUUUUUCUCCAUUUUACAAUUUUUUUCUAAAAAUUCAAAAUGUGUUCAUUAUUUUAAAAACUGUUCCCUUUUCAAAAUUUUGUUCGACAAUUCUAAAAAUGUUCAUGUUUACAAAAAAAAUCAUGUUUACAACUAAAAUUUGUUCACAAUUCAAAAUUUGUUCUCCUUUCAAAAAUAUUCAUGCUUUUGAAAUAAUCACUAUUAAAAUACUUGUUCAGAUUUUCGAAAAACUUUUUGUGUUUAUCAAAAGUUAAUCAUAAUUAUAUAAAAUAAAAAUGUUUUGUUUUGGAGUUUCAUAUGUGCACGCGGCUUCCUCCUUCCAAAUAUCACAUUUUUUGAGGAAAUGUUUUGAUUUUUCCUGAAAGUGUUUUCAUAUGUGCACGCGGCUUUGAGUUCUUUUAAAAUUCGCUUUUUCUUUUUACAUCUUGUUUAAGUGAAGUGUGCGUCGUCUACUGAUGGGCCGGCCCAGUUGAGGCAACUAUGUGCGUCGCUCCAACUAUUUGCCGCGAAAUGCGGCAAAUAGGAGCUCCCAAAUAGAAGUGCCGUCAAAUAGGCAGCCUAUCGCAUAGGGCAACCUACAAAUGGGCCGACCCAUGUUGUUAGCGCUCUUUAUUUUGUUUAAUUUUUCCUAUGUUUUUUGUUAUUCCCUUCAAUCCAAAUUAAUUGACAAUGCUUUAGUACCAUUUUGUACUAAAGUUGUAUUAAAGUUGCUUCAAUUAAUUUGGAUCUGAAGGAGUAUUUUUUUUCUAAAAUUAUGAAAAUCAUUAUUUCUGAAAACAUAAACAUUUUAUUACAAGUUGUAAUAUUUUAUAAAAAGGUAUAAACAACUUUUGAAGUUUUCGGAUUGUUAUCAGAAAUUUUGAGAACAUUUUCUGAUUUUUUUAAACUACGGGUGUUGUUUGAUAAAAGAAAAGUAAAUACCCAAACAAUAUAUAUAAAAAACAAAAGAAAAACAUGGACAAGAAAAUGAGAAGACCCUGCUCAACUCCCCUUCACUGCAUCCUCACUUCAUUUACACAUACAAAAAUCUUGGUUUGGUUAAUUUAGCUAUAUGGAUAGCUAAUCUUUGUGCUGACUUGGAUUUGUUGUGGAAUUUGUCAAUUGAGUAAAGUGAUAAUAUUAAGAACUAGAUGAUCUAACACCAUUGAAUGAAAUAAAUUAAAUUAGAUUUUCAAGGAAAUUUCUGAAUAAGAGAUAAAUAAAAAAAUGAAUUUUAAAAAAACUUCUUUCUAUUUUGGAUUUUUUUUCAAUAGGACCCUCCUUUUGGACUUAACGAUUGAACAUCCCCCUAUUCCUUCUUAUUUUAACUGAUUGUAUUUCAUAUGGAAUAAAAGGAGAAGAAAAGCAUUCCACGAUCAGCCAAGGGGAUGUUUAAAAAGAGUUCGAAUACCGAGCAAUUCACCGGCUGAUACCCGAUCCACAAAGUGUUUUUUUAGAAAACCCCGAUUCACCAUUUGAAGGCUGGACAGAACCGCUUGGGCAUAAAAGCCCGUCUUUGAUGGCCCAUCAUACAUUUCAGCUUAUACGGGGGUCAGCAUCAAUUUCAUUUCUGAUCAACCCAUCCUACCGGAGCUAAGCUGAUAUUACCUCCGUCCUGUUACUAGUCUCAUUUGUAUUUUGGGUAGCAUUUUGGUCAUGAUUUUAACUUAGAAAAUAUAAGUUAUACGUAACAAACAUAACAUCAUUGAAAAUUACAUACAAAUACAAAUCCAACAAUAUACUUUUUGGUAACAUGCACUAACAUGUUAUUAGUCGAAUAUGUCGCCUAAAUUUGACCCAAAAUACAAUGAGGACUAAUAAAUCAGGAUGGAGUGGUAUGAGGGUUUGGGGAAAAUCACUAUUUAAGUGGUACAUCUUGCAAGGAUCACCCCAUCUUCUCAUAUGCCGGCAAAUGUCACACUGCAUGUGUGUCACUUGUCACAAUAUGAGUGUUGACCAUUUUUUGUACAUUCGUUUAUUCAAACAUUUUAUCUCUAGAAUCAUGCAUUCAAAUCUUGAGCUGUUUUUAUCGUUAGAUUUCUCGCGUCAAGAUCAUUAAAGCAUUUUGAUAGGUUUCCAUGAUUAUUUUCAUGAAAAAAACAAAGUAAAACCAGAAACAACAAACCAAAUAAAAUAAAAUCCGGUAAAAAGAUGUAAUCCAAGAAACCAGCAACUGAAAAAACAAAUAAUGGAAAAAGGAAGAAAAGUUGAAGCCCGGAAGCAUAGUUGCGCUUCUCGCAAAAAACAAAUUUGUGCUUUCACAAGAAGCAAAAUUAUGUUUCUUGUGAAAGCAUGGAUUGUCUCCCUUUCCGAGAAGUAUAAAUAUAACUUUUGCGGAAGCAAAUUUGUGCUUCUCGUGGAGGCACAUUUUUUUUCAAUAAGUACAACUAUGCUUCUCGCGAAAGCAAAUAUGUGCUUUUUGUGGAAGCACAAAUUUUCUAUUUCGAGAAGCAAAACUGUGCCCCUCGUGAAACAAAAUCUAUGCAUUUUACAAGAAGCAAAUAUGUGCUUCUUGUGGAGGUAUACUUUUUUUUCCUUCUUGUUGCGCUUCGUAUAAAAUAAUUGUUACAGAACGUAGGGAAAUGCAGGCAAAAAAUCAAACAGCAAAAAUCCAUCUAAAACUCGAAAACGCAUAGCAAAAUAAAAGAAUAAAAUCCAGAGGAAGCGCCCAGCGGGCGACACAUGGCGAUGGCUGGACGCAUCACUUGGCACGCUCGCAUGUGGGUCUGCGUUACCUUCAGCCACUGACUUAGUACUUAGCAUUUUUUGUCUAAAAAAUGCAUGCUUUUUUUCUACACUACAAAAAUGUAUGCAAAUCUUAAAAAAAAUAUAAGUUUGAAUAAUUGUUUCCAGAUUUAAUAUAUUUUUAUGAAAUUAGAAAAUGUUCCAAUUCAAGAGAACGAUCAUGAAUUCAAAACAUUGUUGUGAAUUUCAGAAAAAUCAUGAAACUGAAAAUUUGUUAUUGGAUUCAAAAACUAUACGUGAAUUAAAAGUUUGUUUGUGGAUAAUUGAAAAAAGAAAUAAGUUCAUGAAUUUGAAAAAUGUUUGUGAAUUAAAAAAAGUUCAUGAAUUUCAANNNNNNNNNNNNNNNNNNNNNNNNNNNNNNNNNNNNNNNNNNNNNNNNNNNNNNNNNNNNNNNNNNNNNNNNNNNNNNNNNNNNNNNNNNNNNNNNNNNNNNNNNNNNNNNNNNNNNNNNNNNNNNNNNNNNNNNNNNNNNNNNNNNNNNNNNNNNNNNNNNNNNNNNNNNNNNNNNNNNNNNNNNNNNNNNNNNNNNNNNNNNNNNNNNNNNNNNNNNNNNNNNNNNNNNNNNNNNNNNNNNNNNNNNNNNNNNNNNNNNNNNNNNNNNNNNNNNNNNNNNNNNNACCCCUUUGAACGUGACGGCGCCCACGACUUGCCAGCGCCUUCAUGUAGGGGACAACGCCCACGGGUGUUGCCGACCACGGAUUUCUCCGGUCCCUACUCCCUCCCCCACCUCGAGACCAUACACAACUAUGACGCUUGGAGACCACCGAAGAACAAAUCUGAGACGAGGGGGGCAAGAGGUUGCGGUGGAAGGAGACAUGAGAUAUAGUGCGAUUGCCCCCGAGGCCACCGCGCACCACACCCAUCUCCCAUCGUCACCAUGCCACCUACACGACUGAGGUGUACGACCAUCACCUGUUAGCGCCACUUGCUGAGGACGACGCACCACCACUACCCGAGGUCCUUCACGGGGGAUGAAGCGACCAGAUCCUUGCUGCCACCAUCCCCAGCGGCCACACAACGUUCCGGCACCCCCCGCCGGUGACAAAGAGGGAGAGAAGAAGAGGAAGGGAGCCAUCGCGGUGGGCUAGGAUUUGCGUCGCCCGAGUCGCACAUGCGGGAGCGAUGCGGGAGCCAUGGGAUGGGGGUCUCUCUUGGAGAGAUUUGUUCAGUAGCACACAAAUUCAUGUUAGAUAAAUUAUUCAUGACGUAUAUAGUCCCUCGUUAUUUCAUGUUUUUGUAUUGUUCAGGUGAUUCCCUUUUUGAAGAAACUUCCAGUCAUACUCACGUCCUCAAUUUUUAACUAGUCAAUUCACUUUUCAUUAGGGAUAAAGUCAUGCACGUUGCUUGAAAAGAAAUUAUUUUCUUCCUACUUUAAGACUAGACAAAGCCGCACACGAGCCACACAUUAGUCAAGUUGAUCGAUGUUUUGUUUGCAUCUUCUCUUACCGUUCUUCUGUUAGCAUUUUUCACUUUUCACUUUCAACUUGUUUGGAGAACAAGAAUAAGAAAUAUGAUAUUAAAAAGGCAAAGUUGAAUGGUCAUUCAACAUCACCUUUCUUGGAGAACAAGAACAUGUAAAACAACUUUAGGACAUGUUUUGUUGCAGUAGUGAACAGUAGCUGCAUUGCAUACAAUCUCAACCAGCCUGGUUGAGCAAAAACAGCCCCAAAUGCGUCAUCUGCAAGUUGUUUGGUUGCCUACAUCUAGGGUCCCUGCAUUAGGUAAUACGCAAGUGCACUUUGUUUGGUUGCCUGCGUUGGUGUUGGGGAACGUAGUAAUUUUAAAAAAAUUCCUACGCACACGCAAGAUCAUGGUGAUGCAUAGCAACGAGAGGGGGAGUGUAUCUUCAUACCCUUGAAGAUCGCUAAGCAGAAGCGUUUAUCAACGCGGUUGAUGUAGUCGUACGUCUUCACGAUCCGACUGAUCCAAGUACCGAACGCACGGCACCUCCGAGUUCUGCACACGUUCAGCUUGAUGACGUCCUCGCCUUCUCGAUCCAGCAAGACGGGCGAAGUAGUAGAUGAGUUCCGGCAGCACGACGGCGUGGUGACGGUGUCGGUGAAGAACAAUCUCUGCAGGGCUUCGCCUAAGCACUACGGAAACUAUGACGGAGGAUAAACUAGAGGGGACGGGGUUGCCGGCACAUGACUUGGUGUUUCUUGAUGUGUCUUUGGUGCUAGCCCUGCCCCUCUAUUUAUAUGUUGAGCCUUGGGGUCGAAACUUGGAGUAAAAGCCUCCACAAAGUCGGUUUCACCCGAAAGGCAAGAGUCCUUCUUGGACUCCAGGGCCAGACGCCAGGGUCCCUGGCGUCUGCGUCCAGACGCCAGGGACCCUGGCGUCUGGCCCCUGGACUCCGCAAAACAUCCUUUUGCGCUUUCCAAAAACCUUGUGGGCUUUCCCCUUUGGCCCAAAUAACGUGUUCCUGUACCCAAACAUUUCGGGAAACAUCCGGAACCCCUUCCGGUGAAUUCCGGAACUCUUUCGGAUAUCAAACACUAUUAUCCCAUAUAUCAAACUUUAUCUCCGGACCAUUCCGGAGUUCCUCGUCAUGUCCAUGAUCUCAUCCGGGACUCCGAACAACAUUCGGUUACCAACAUACAUAACUCAUAUAAUACUAUAUCGUCAACGAAACGUUAAGCGUGCGGACCCUACGGGUUCGAGAACUAUGUAGACAUGACCUAGAACUUGUUUCCGGUCAAUAACCAAUAGCGGGACCUGGAUGCCCAUAUUGGCUCCCACAUAUUCUACGAAGAUCUUUAUCGGUCAAACCGCAUAACAACAUACGUUGGUCCCUUUGUCAUCGGUAUGUUACUUGCCCGAGAUUUGAUCGUCGGUAUCCAAUACCUAGUUCAAUCUCGUUACCGGCAAGUCUCUUUACUCGUUACGUAAUGCAUCAUUCCGUAACUAACUCAUUAGCUACAUUGCUUGCAAGGCUUAUAGUGAUGUGCAUUACCGAGAGGGCCCAGAGAUACCACUCCGACAAUCGGAGUGACAAAACCUAAUCUCGAAAUACGCCAACCCAACAUGUACCUUCGGAGACACCUGUAGUACUCCUUUAUAAUCACCUAGUUACGUUGUGAUGUUUGGUAGCACCCAAAGUGUUCCUCCGGUAAACGGGAGUUGCAUAAUCUCAUAGUUACAGGAACAUGUAUAAGUCAUGAAGAAAGCAAUAGCAAUAUACUAAACGAUCAAGUGCUAGGCUAACGGAAUGGGUCAUGUCAAUCACAUCAUUCUCCUAAUGAUGUGAUCCCAUUAAUCAAAUGACAACACAUGUCUAUGGUUAGGAAACAUAACCAUCUUUGAUUAAUGAGCUAGUCAAGUAGAGGCAUACUAGUGAUGUUAUGUUGGUCUAUGUAUUCACACAUGUAGUAUGUUUCUGGUUAAUACAAUUCUAGCAUGAAUAAUAAACAUUUAUCAUGAAAUAAGGAAAUAAAUAAUAACUUUAUUAUUGCCUCUAGGGCAUAUUUCCUUCAGUCUCCCACUUGCACUAGAGUCAAUAAUCUAGUUCACAUCGCCAUGUGAUUUAACACUAAUAUUCAUAUCUGUAUAUGAUUAACACCCAUAGUUCACAUCGUCAUGUGACUAACACCCAAAGGGUUUACUAGAGUCAAUAAUCUAGUUCACAUAGCUAUGUGAUUAACACCCAAAGAGUACUGAGUUGUGAUCAUGUUUUGCUCGUGAGAGAAGCUUAGUCAACGGGUCUGUCACAUUCAGAGCCGUAUAUAUUUUGCAAAUAUUCUAUGUCUACAAUGCUCUGCACGGAGCUAUUCUAGCUAAUUGCUCCCACUUUUAAUAUGUAUCCAUAUUGAGACUUAGAGUCAUCUGGAUUGGUGUAAAAGCUUGCAUCGUUGUAACUUUUUACGACGAGCUCUUUUAUCACUUCCAUUAUCGAGAAAUAUUUCCUUAGUCCUCAUUAAGGAUAUUCUUGACCGUUGUCCAAUGAUCUACUAUUAGAUCAAAUUUGUAUUCCUUUGCCAAACUCAGAGCAAGGUAUACAAUAGGUCUGGUACACAGCAUAGCAUACUUUAUAGAACCUAUGACUGAGGCACAGGGAAUGACUUUUCAUUCUCUUUCUAUUUUCUGCCGUGGUCGGGAUUUGAGUCUUACUCACUUUCACACCUUGCAACACAGGCAAGAACUCCUUCUUUGACUGUUCCAUUUUGAACUGCUUCAAAAUCUUAUCAAGGUAUGUACUCAUUGAAAAAACUUAUCAAGCAUAUUGAUCUAUCUAUAUAGAUCUUGAUGCUCAAUGUGUAAGCAGCUUCACCGAGGUAUUUCUUUGAAAAACUCCUUUCAAACAUUCCUUUAUGCUUUCCAGAAAAUUCUACAUCAUUUCCAAUUAAUAAUAUGUCAUUCACAUAUACUUAUCAGAAAGGCUGUAGUGCUCCUACUCACUUUCUUGUAAAUACAGGCCUUUCCAAAAGUCUGUAUAAAACCAUAUGCUUUGAUCAACUCAUCAAAGCGUAUAUUCCAAUUCCGAGAUGCUUGUACCAGUCCAUUGAUGGAUUGUUGGAGCUUGCACACUUUGUUAGCAUCUUUAGGAUUGACAAAACCUUCUGGUUGCAUCAUAUACAACUCUUCUUUAAUAAAUCCAUAAAGGAAUGCAGUUUUGACAUCCAUUUGCUAGAUUUCAUAAAAUGCGGCAAUUGCUAACAUGAUUCAGACAGACUUAAGCAUCGACACGAGUGAGAAAAUCUCAUCGUAUUCAACACCUUGAACUUGUUGAAAACCUUUUACAACAAGUCGAGAUUAGUGGAUAGUAACACUACUAUCAGUGUCCGUCUUCCUCUUGAAGAUCCAUUUAUUUAACAUGGCUUGCUGAUCAUCGAGCAAGUCAAUCAAAGUCCAUACUUUGUUCUCAUACAUGGAUCAUAUCUCAGAUUUUAUGGCCUCAAGCCAUUUCGCGGAAUCUGGGCUCAUCCUCGCUUCCUCAUAGUUCGUAGGUUCAUCAUGGUUUAGUAACAUGACUUUCAGAAUAGGAUUACCGUACCACUUUGGUGCGGACCGUACUCUGGAAGACCUACGAGGUUCUGUAGUAACUUGAUCUAAAGUUUCAUGAUCAUCAUCAUUAGCUUCCUCACUAAUUGGUGUAGGAAUCACUGGAACUGAUUUCAGUGAUGAACUAUUUUCCAAUUCGGGAGAAGGUACAGUUACCUCAUCAAGUUCUACUUUUCCUCCCACUCACUUCUUUCGAGAGAAACUCCUUCUCUAGAAAGGAUCCAUUUUUAGCAACGAAUAUCUUGCCUUCGGAUCUGUGAUAGAAGGUGUACCCAAUAAUUUCCUUUGGGUAUUCUAUGAAGACGCACUUCUCUGAUUUGGGUUUGAGCUUAUCAGGUUGAAAACCUUUUUCAUAUAAGCAUCACAACUCCAAACUUUAAGAAACGACAGCUUAGGUUUACUGCUAAACCAUAGUUCAUACGGUGUCGUCUCAACGGAUUUAGAUGGUGCCCUAUUUAAAUGUGAAUGCAGCUGUCUCUAAUGCAUAACCCCAAAACGAUAGUGGUAAACUGAUAAGAGACAUCAUAGAUCGCACCAUAUCUAGUAAAGUACGAUUACGACGUUCGGACACACCAUUACAUUGUGAUGUUCCAGGUGGCGUGAGCUGUGAAACUAUUCCACAUUGUUUUAAUUGAAGACCAAACUCGUAACUCAAAUAUUCGUCUCCGCGAUCAGAUCGCAGAAACUUUAUUUUCUUGUUAUGAUGAUUUUUCCACUUCACUCUAAAAUUCUUUGAACCUUUCAACUAUUUCAGACUUAUGUUUCAUCAAGUAGAUAUACCCAUAUCUGCUCAAUUCAUCUUGUGAAGGUCAAAAAAUAACGAUACUUGCCACGAGCAUCAACACUCAUUUGAUCGCAUACAUUGGUAUGUAUUAUUUCCAAUAAGUCAGUAGCUUGUUCCAUUGUUCCAGAGAACGGAGUUUUAGUCAUCUUGCCCAAAAGGCACGGUUCGCAAGCAUCAAAUGACUCAUAACCAAGUGAUUCCAAAAAUCCAUCUUUAUGGAGUUUCUUCAUGCGCUUUAUAUCGAUAUGACCCAAACGGCAGUGCCACAAAUAAGUUGCACUAUCAUUAUUAACUUUUCAUCUUUUGGCAUCAGUAUUAUGAAUAUGUGUAUCACUACGAUCGAGAUCCAACAAACUAUGUUCAUUGGGUGUAUGACCAUCGAAGGUCUUUUUCAUGUAAACAGAAUAACAAUUUAUUCUCUAAUUUUAAAUGAAUAACCGUAUCGCAAUAAACAUGAUCAAAUCAUAUUCAUGCUCAACGCAAACGCCAAAUAACAUUUAUUUAGGUUUAACACUAAUCCCGAAAGUAUAGGGAGUGUGCGAUGAUGAUCAUAUCAAUCUUGGAACUACUUCCAACACUCAUCGUCACUUCCCCUUCAACUAGUCUCUGUUUAUUCUGUAACUCCUGUUUCGAGUUACUAAUCUUAGCAACCGAACAAGUAUCAAAUACUCAGGGGUUACUAUAAACACUAGUAAGGCACAUAUCAAUAACCUGUAUAUCAAAUAUACCCUUGUUCACUUUGCCAUCCUUCUUAUCCACCAAAUAUUCAGGGCAUUUAUGAAGGAAAUAUGCCCUAGAGGCAAUAAUAAAGUUAUUAUUUAUUUCCUUAUAUCAUGAUAAAUGUUUAUUAUUCAUGCUAGAAUUGUAUUAACCGGAAACAUAAUACAUGUGUGAAUACAUAGACAAACAUAGUGUCACUAGUAUGCCUCUACUUGACUAGCUCGUUUAUCAAAGAUGGUUAUGUUUCCUAGCCAUGGUCAAAAGAGUUGUCAUUUGAUUAACGGGAUCACAUCAUUAGGAGAAUGAUGUGAUUGACUUGACCCAUUCCGUUAGCCUAGCACUUGAUCAUUUAGUAUGUUGCUAUUGCUUUCUUCAUGACUUAUACAAAGUUCCUGCAACUAUGAGAUUGUGCAACUCCCGUUUACCGGAAGAACACUUUGUGUGCUACCAAACGUCACAACGUAACUGGGUGAUUAUAAAGGUGCUCUACAGGUGUUUCCGAAGGUACAUGUUGGGUUGGCAUAAUUCGAGAUUAGGUUUUGUCACUCCGAUUGUCGGAGAGGUAUCUCUGGGCCCUCUCGGUAAUACUCAUCACCUAAGCCUUGCAAGCAUUGUAACUAAUGAGUUAGUUAUAAGAUGAUGUGUUAUAGAAUGAGUAAAGAGACUUGCCGGUAACGAGAUUGAACUAGGUAUUGGAUACCGACGAUCAAAUCUCGGGCAAGUAACAUACCGAUGACAAAGGGAACAACGUAUGUUGUUAUGCGGUUUGACCGAUAAAGAUCUUCGUAGAAUAUGUAGGAACCAAUAUGGGCAUCCAGGUCCCGCUAUUGGUUAUUGACCGAGAAUGGUUCUAGGUCAUGUCUACAUAGUUCUCGAACCCGUAGGGUCCGCACGCUUAACGUUACGAUGACAGUUUUAUUAUGAGUUUAUAAGUUUUGAUGUACCGAAGUUUGUUCGGAGUCCCGGAUGUGAUCACGGACAUGACGAGGAGUCUCGAAAUGGUCGAGACAUAAAGAUUGAUAUAUUGGACGACUAUAUUCGUACUUCGGAAGUGUUCCGGGUGAUUUCGGAGAAAACCNNNNNNNNNNNNNNNNNNNNNNNNNNNNNNNNNNNNNNNNNNNNNNNNNNNNNNNNNNNNNNNNNNNNNNNNNNNNNNNNNNNNNNNNNNNNNNNNNNNNNNNNNNNNNNNNNNNNNNNNNNNNNNNNNNNNNNNNNNNNNNNNNNNNNNNNNNNNNNNNNNNNNNNNNNNNNNNNNNNNNNNNNNNNNNNNNNNNNNNNNNNNNNNNNNNNNNNNNNNNNNNNNNNNNNNNNNNNNNNNNNNNNNNNNNNNNNNNNNNNNNNNNNNNNNNNNNNNNNNNNNNNNNNNNNNNNNNNNNNNNNNNNNNNNNNNNNNNNNNNNNNNNNNNNNNNNNNNNNNNNNNNNNNNNNNNNNNNNNNNNNNNNNNNNNNNNNNNNNNNNUAGGAGGAGGAUUCCUCCUCCCUUGGCGCGCCCAAGGGGCCGGCCGGCCUCCCCCUUGCUCCUUUAUAUACGGGGGCAGGGGGGCACCCCAUGACACACAAGUUGAUCUACGGAUCGUUCCUUAGCCGUGUGCGGUGCCCCCCUCCACCAUAUUCCACCUCGGUCAUAUCAUCGUGGAGUUUAGGCGAAGCCCUGCGCCGGUAGAGCAUCAUCAUCAUCACCAUGCCAUCGUGCUGACGAAACUCAUCCCCGAAGCUUUGCUGGAUCGGAGCCCGGGGAUCGUCAUCGAGCUGAACGUGUGCUGAACUCGGAGGUGCCGUACGUUCGGUACUUGGAUCGGUCGGAUCAUGAAGACGUACGACUACAUCAACCGCGUUGUCAUAACGCUUCCGCUUAUGGUCUACGAGGGUACGUGGACAACACUCUCCCCUCUCGUUGCUAUGCCAUCACCAUGAUCUUGCGUGUACGUAGGAAUUUUUUUGAAAUUACUACGUUCCCCAACAGUGGCAUCCGAGCCUAGGUUUUAUGCGUUGAUGUUAUAUGCACGAGUAGAACACAAGUGAGUUGUGGGCGAUACAAGUCAUACUGCUUACCAGCAUGUCAUACUUUGGUUCGGCGGUAUUGUUGGAUGAAGCGGCCCGGACCGACAUUACGCGCACGCUUACGCGAGACUGGUUUUACCGCCGUGAUUUGCACACAGGUGACUAGCGGGUGUCAGUUUCUCCAACUUUAGUUGAACCAAGUGUGGCUACACCCGGUCCUUGAGAAGGUUAAAACAGCACCAACUUGACGAACUAUCGUUGUGGUUUUGAUGCGUAGGUAAGAACGGUUCUUGCUCAGCCCGUAGCAGCCACGUAAAACUUGCAACAACAAAGUAGAGGACGUCUAACUUGUUUUUGUAGGGAAUGUUGUGAUGUGAUAUGGUCAAGACGUGAUGAGAUAUAAGUUGUUGUAUGAGAUGAUCAUGUUUUGUUGAAGUUAUUGGCAACUGGCAGAAGCUCUAUGGUUGUCUCUUUGUUGCAUAAGAUGCAAGUGCCAAAUAAUUGCUUUACUUUAUCACUAUGCGAUAGCAAUAGUUGCAAGAGCAAUAGUUGGCGAGACGACCAUGUGACGACACAUUGAUAUAGAUCAAGAUGAUGAAGAUCAUGGUGUCGUGCCGGUGACGAUAGAGAUCAUGCCAGUACUUUGGAGAUGGAGAUCAAAGGCGCAAGAUGAUCAUGGCCAUAUCAUGUCACCUAUUUUGAUUGCAUAUGAUGUUUAUCUGUUAUACAUCUUAUUCUGUUUUGUUUGGCGGCAGCAUUAUAAGAUGAUCUCUCACUAAUUAUCAAGAAGUGUUCUCCCUGAGUAUGCACCGUUACCAAAGUUCGUUGUGCCCAGACACCACGUGAUGAUCGGGUGUGAUAAGCUCUACGUCCAUCUACAACGGGUGCAAGCCAGUUUUGCACAUGCAGAAUACUCAGGUUAAACUUGACGAGCCUAGCAUAUGCAGAUAUGGCCUCGGAACACGGAGACCGAAAGGUCGAGCGUGAAUCAUAUAGUAGAUAUGAUCAACAUAGUGAUGUUCACCAUUGAAAACUACUCCAUCUCACGUGAUGAUCGGUUAUGGUUUAGUUGAUUUGGAUCACGUGAUCACUUAGAAGAUUAGAGGGAUGUUUUUCUAAGUGGGAGUUCUUAAGUAAUAUGAUUAAUUGAACUUAAAUUUAUCAUGAACUUAGUCCUCGUAGUAUUUUGCAAAUUAUAUUGUAGAUCAAUAGCUUGCGUUGUUGCUUUCAUAUGUUUAUUUUGAUAUGUUCCUAGAGAAAAUUGUAUUGAAAGAUGUUAGUAGCAAUGAUGCGGAUUGGAUCCAUGAUCUGAGGUUUAUCCUCAUUGCUGCACAGAAGAAUUAUGUCCUUAAUGCACUGCUAGGUGAUAGACCUAUUGCAGGAGCAGAUGUAGACGUUAUGAACGUUUGGCUAGCUCAAUAUGAUGACUACUUGAUAGUUUAGUGCACCAUGCUUAACGGCUUAGAAUCGGGACUUCAAAGACGUUUUGAACGUCAUGGACCAUAUGAGAUGUUCCAGGAGUUGAAGUUAAUAUUUCAAGCAAAUAUCCGAGUUGAGAGAUAUGAAGUCUCCAACAAGUUCUAUAGCUAAAAGAUGGAGGAGAAUCGCUCAACUAGUGAGCAUGUGCUCAGAUUGUCUGGGUACUACAAUCGCUUGAAUCAAGUGGGAGUUAAUCUUCCAGAUAAGAUAGUGAUUGACAGAGUUCUCUAGUCACCAUCACUAAGUUAGUAGAACUUUGUGAUGAACUAUAGUAUGCAAGGGAUGACAAAAACGAUUCCCGAGCUCUUCGUGAUGCUGAAAUCGACGAAGGUAGAAAUCAAGAAAGAGCAUCAAGUGUUGAUGAUUGACAAGACCACUAGUUUCAAGAAAAGGGCAAAGGGAAAGAAAGGGAACUUCAAGCAGAAUCGCAAGCAAGUUGUCACUCCCGCGAAGAAGCCCAAAGCCUGAAACUGAGUGAUUAUACUGCAAAGGAAAUGGUCACUGGAAGCGGAAAUGCCCUGAAUAUUUGGUGGAUAAGAAGGAUGGCAAAGUGAACAAGGGUAUAUUUGAUAUACAGGUUAUUGAUGUGUGCCUUACUAGUGUUUAUAGUAGCCCCUGAGUAUUUGAUACUUGUUCGGUUGUUAAGAUUAGUAACUCGAAACAGGAGUUUCAGAAUAAAUAGAGACUAGUUGAAGGGGAAGUGACGAUGAGUGUUGGAAGUAGUUCCAAGAUUGAUAUGAUCAUCAUCGCACACUCCCUAUACUUUCGGGAUUAGUGUUAAACCUAAAUAAAUGUUAUUUGGCAUUUGCGUUGAGCAUGAAUAUGAUUUGAUCAUGUUUAUUGCAAUACGGUUAUUCAUUUAAAGUCAGAGAAUAAUUGUUGUUCUGUUUACAUGAAUAAGACCUUCGAUGGUCAUACACCCAAUGAAAAUAGUUUGUUGGAUCUCGAUCGUAGUGAUACACAUAUUCAUAAUAUUGAUGCCAAAAGAUGCAAAAUUAAUAAUGAUAGUGCAACUUAUUUGUGACACUGCCGUUUGGGUCAUAUCGGUGUAAAGCGCAUGAACAAACUCCAUAAAGAUGGAUUUUCGGAAUCACUUGGUUAUGAAUCAUUUGAUGCUUGCGAACCGUGCCUUUUGGGCAAGAUGACUAAAACUCCAUUCUCCGGAACAAUUGAACGAGCUACUAACUUAUUGGAAAUAAUACAUACCGAUGUAUGUGAUCCGAUGAGUGUUAAGGCUCGUGGCAAGUAUCGUUAUUUUCUAACCUUCACAGAUGAUUUGAGCAGAUAUGGGUAUAUCUACUUGAUGAAACAUAAAUCUGAAAUAGUUGAAAGGUUCAAAGAAUUUCAGAGUGAAGUGGAAAAAUCAUCAUAACGAGAAAAUAAAGUUUCUGCGAUCUGAUCGCGGAGACGAAUAUUUGAGUUACGAGUUUGGUCUUCGAUUAAAACAAUGUGGAAUAGUUUCACAGCUCACGCCACCUGGAACACCACAAUGUUAUGGUGUGUCCGAACGUCGUAACCGCACUUUAUUGAUAUGGUGCGAUCUAUGAUGUCUCUUACUGAUUUACCACUAUUGUUUUGGGGUUAUGCAUUAGAGACAGCUGCAUUCACCUUAAAAAGGGCACCAUCUAAAUCCGUUGAGACGACACCAUAUGAACUGUGGUUUAGCAAGAAACCCAAGUUGUCGUUUCUUAAAGUUUGGGGCUGUGAUGUUUAUGUGAAAAUUUUUUAUCCUGAUAAGCUCAAACCCAAAUCGGAGAAGUGCGUCUUCAUAGAAUACCCAAAGGAAACUGUUGGGUACACCUUCUAUCACAGAUCCGAAGGCAAGAUAUUCGUUGCUAAAUAUGGAUCCUUUCUAGAGAAGGAGUUUCUCUCGAAAGAAGUGAGUGGGAGGAAAGUAGAACUUGAUGAGGUAACUGUACCUGCUCCCUUAUUGGAAAUUAGUUCAUCACAGAAAUCUGUUCCUGUGACUACUACACCAAUUAGUGAGGAAGUUAAUGAUGAUGAUCAUGAAACUUCAGAUUAAGUUACUACAGAACCUCGUAGGUCUUCCAGAGUAAGAUCCGCACCAGAGUGGUACGGUAAUCCUAUUUUGGAAGUCAUGUUACUUGACCAUGAUGAACCUACGAACUAUGAGGAAGCGAUGAUGAGCCCGGAUUCCGCAAAAUGGCUAGAAGCCAUGAAAUCUGAGAUGGGAUCCAUGUAUGAAAACAAAGUAUGGACUUUGGUUGACUUGCCCGAUGAUCGGCAAGCCAUUGAGAAUAAAUGGAUCUUUAAGAAGAAGACUGACGCUGAUGGUAAUAUAACUGUCUAUAAAGCUCGACUUGUUGCAAAAGGUUUUUGACAAGUUCAAGGGGUUGACUACGAUGAGACUUUCUCACCCGUAGCGAUGCUUAAGUCCGUCCGGAUCAUGUUAGCUAUUGUUGCAUUUCAUGAUUAUGAAAUCUGGCAAAUGGAUAAACAAAACUGCAUUCCUUAAUGGUUUUCUUAAAGAAGAGUUGUAUAUGAUGCAACCAGAAGGUUUUGUCAAUCCUAAAGGUGCUAACAAAUUGUGCAAGCUCCAGCGAUCCAUCUAUGGACUGGUGCAAGCAUCUCGGAGUUGGAAUAUAUGCUUUGAUGAGUUGAUCAAAGCAUAUGGUUUUAUACAGACUUUUGAAGAAGCCUGUAUUUACAAGAAAGUGAGUGGGAGCUCUGUAGCAUUUCUAAUAUUAUAUGUGGAUGACAUAUUGUUGAUUGGAAAUGAUAUCGAAAUUCUGGAUAGCAUGAAAGGAUACUUGAAUAAGAGUUUUUCAAAGCAAGACCUCGGUGAAGCUGCUUACACAUUGAGCAUCAAAUCUAUAUAGAUAGAUCAAGAUGCUUGAUAAGAUUUUUCAAUGAGUACAUACCUUGAUAAAUUUUUGAAAUAGUUCAAAAUGGAACAGUCAAAUAAGGAGUUCUUGCAUGUGUUACAAGGUGUGAAGUUGAGUAAGACUCAAGACCCAACCAUUGCAGAAAAUAGAAAGAGAAUGAAAAGUCAUUCCCUAUGCCUCAGUCAUAGGUUCUAUAAAGUAUGCUAUGAUGUGAACCAGACCUAUUAUAUACCUUGCUCUGUGUUUGGCAAAGGAAUACAAUUUUGAUCUAAUAGUAGAUCACUGGACAGCGGUCAAGAAUAUCCUUAGUGAGGACUAAGGAGAUGUUUCUCGAUAAUGGAGGUGAUAAAAGAGUUUGUUGUAAAAGUUACAUCGGUGCAAAUUUUUACACUGAUCUAGAUGACUCUAAGUCUCAAUCUGGAUACAUAUUGAAAGUGGGAGCAAUUAGCUAGAGUAGCUUCGUGCAGAACAUUGUAGACAUAGAAUAUUUGCAAAAUACAUACGACUCUGAAUGUGACAGACCCGUUGACUAAGCUUCUCUCACAAGAAAAACAUGAUCACACCUUAGUACUCUUUGGGUGUUAAUCACAUAGUGAUGUGAACUAGAUUAUUGACUCUAGUAAACCCUUUGGGUGUUGGUCACAUGAUGAUGUGAACUAUGAGUGUUAAUCACAUACAGAUGUGAAUAUUGGUGUUGAAUCACAUGAUGAUGUGAACUAGAUUAUUGACUCUAGUGCAAGUGGGAGACUGAAGGAAAUAUGCCCUAGAGGCAAUAAUAAAGUUAUUAUUUAUUUCCUUAUAUCAUGAUAAAUGUUUAUUAUUCAUGCUAGAAUUGUAUUAACCGGAAACAUAAUACAUGUGUGAAUACAUAGACAAACAUAGUGUCACUAGUAUGCCUCUACUUGACUAGCUCGUUUAUCAAAGAUGGUUAUGUUUCCUAGCCAUGGACAAAAGAGUUGUCAUUUGAUUAACGAGAUCACAUCAUUAGGAGAAUGAUGUGAUUGACUUGACCCAUUCCAUUAGCCUAGCACUUGAUCGUUUAGUAUGUUGCUAUUGCUUUCUUCAUGACUUAUACAAAGUUCCUGCAACUAUGAGAUUGUGCAACUCCCGUUUACCGGAAGAACACUUUGUGUGCUACCAAACGUCACAACGUAACUGGGUGAUUAUAAAGGUGCUCUACAGGUGUUUCCGAAGGUACAUGUUGGGUUGGCAUAAUUCGAGAUUAGGUUUUGUCACUCCGAUUGUCGGAGAGGUAUCUCUGGGCCCUCUCGGUAAUACUCAUCACCUAAGCCUUGCAAGCAUUGUAACUAAUGAGUUAGUUAUAAGAUGAUGUGUUAUAGAACGAGUAAAGAGACUUGCCGGUAACGAGAUUGAACUAGGUAUUGGAUAUCGACGAUCAAAUCUCGGGCAAGUAACAUAGCGAUGACAAAGGGAACAACGUAUGUUGUUAUGCGGUUUGACCGAUAAAGAUCUUCGUAGAAUAUGUAGGAACCAAUAUGGGCAUCCAGGUCUCGCUAUUGGUUAUUGACCGAGAAUGGUUCUAGGUCAUUUCUACAUAGUUCUCGAACCCGUAGAGUCCGCACGCUUAACGUUACGAUGACAAUUUUAUUAUGAGUUUAUAAGUUUGAUGUACCGAAGUUUUUUGGAGUCCCGGAUGUGAUCACGGACAUGACGAGGAGUCUCAAAAUGGUCGAGACAUAAAGAUUGAUAUAUUGGACGACUAUAUUCGGACACUGAAAGUGUUCGGGUGAUUUCGGAGAAAACCGGAGUGCCGGGGGGGUUACCGGAACCCCCCGGGAGAGUAUUGGGCCUUAUGGGCCUUAGGGGAAAGGAGAGAGGGGCGGCCAGCGUGGGCCACACGCCCCCUCCCCCCCUGGUCCGAAUUGGACUAGGAGGGGGGGGGGGCGGCGCCCCCCCCCUUUCCUUCCCCCUCUCCCCUUCCUUCCCCCUCCAAGUAGGAGUAGGAAAGGAGGAGUCCUACUCCUACUAGGAGGAGGAUUCCUCCUCCCUUGGCGCGCCCAAGGGGCCGGCCGGCCUCCUCCCUUGCUCCUUUAUAUACGGGGGCAGGGGGACACCCCAUGACACACAAGUUGAUCUACGGAUCGUUCCUUAGCCGUGUGCGGUGCCCCCCUCCGUCAUAUCGUCGCAGAGUUUAGGCGAAGCCCUGCGCCGGUAGAGCAUCAUCAUCGUGACCACGCCGUCGUGCUGACGGAACUCAUCCCCGAAGCUUUGCUGGAUCGGAGCCCGGGGAUCGUCAUCGAGCUGAACGUGUGCUGAACUCGGAGGUGCCGUACGUUCGGUACUUGGAUCGGUCGGAUCGUGAAGACGUACGACUACAUCAACCGCGUUGUCAUAACGCUUCCGCUUACGGUCUACGAGGGUAUGUGGACAACACUCUCCCCUCUCGUUGCUAUGCCAUCACCAUGAUCUUGCGUGUACGUAGGAAUUUUUUUUGAAAUUACUACGUUCCCCAACAAUUUCCGCUUCCAGUGACCAUUUCCUUUGCAGUGUAAGCACUCAGUUUCAGGCUUUGGUCCAGCUUUGGUCUUCUUCAUGGGAGUGACAACUUGUUUGCCAUUCUACUUGAAGUUUCCCUUUCUUUCCCUUUGCCCUUUUCUUGAAACUAGUGGUCUUGUCAAUCAUCAACACUUGAUGCUCUUUCUUGAUUUCUACCUUCGUUGAUUUCAACAUCACGAAGAGCUCGGGAAUCAUUUUCGUCAUCCUUUGCAUACUAUAGUUCAUCACGAAGUUCUACUAACUUGGUGAUGGUGACUAGAGAACUCUGUCAAUCACUAUCUUAUCUGGAAGAUUAACUCCCACUUGAUUCAAGCGAUUGUAGUACCCAGACAAUCUGAGCACUUGCUCACUAGUUGAGCGAUUCUCCUCCAUCCUUUAGCUAUAGAACUUGUUGGAGACUUCAUAUCUCUCAACUCGGGUAUUUGCUUGAAAUAUUAACUUCAAUUCCUGGAACAUAUCAUAUGGUCCAUGACGUUCAAAACAUCUUUGAAGUCCCGAUUCUAAGCCGUUAAGCAUGGUGCACUAAACUAUCAAGUAGUCAUCAUAUUGAGCUAGCCAAACGUUUAUAACAUCUGCAUCUGCUCCUGCAAUAGGUCUGUCACCUAGCGGUGCAUUAAGGACAUAAUUUUUCUGUGCAGCAAUGAGGAUAAACCUCAGAUCACGGAUCCAAUCCGCAUCAUUGCUACUAACAUCUUUCAACACAAUUUUCUCUAGGAACAUAUCAAAAUAAACAUAUGAAAGCAACAACGCAAGCUAUUGAUCUACAACAUCAUUUGCAAAAUACUACCAGGACUAAGUUCAUGAUAAAUUUAAGUUCAAUUAAUCAUAUUACUUAAGAACUCCCACUUAGAUAGACAUCCCUCUAAUCCUCUAAGUGAUUAUGUGAUCCAUAUCAACUACACCAUGUCCGAUCGUCACGUGAGAUGGAGUAGUUUCAACGGUGAACAUCAAUAUGUUGAUCAUAUCUACUAUAUGAUUCACGCUCGACCUUUCGGUCUCCGUGUUCCGAGGCCAUAUCUGUUAUAUGCUAGGCUCGUCAAGUUUAACCUGAGUAUUCCGCGUGUGCAACUGUUUUGCACCCAUUGUAUUUGAACGUAGAGCCUAUCACACCCGAUCAUCACGUGGUGUCUCAGCACGAAGAACUUUCGCAACGGUGCAUACUCAGGGAGAACACUUCUUGAUAAUUUUAGUGAGAGAUCAUCUUAAAAUGCUACCAUCAAUCAAAGCAAGAUAAGAUGCAUAAAGGAUAAACAUCACAUGUAAUCAAUAUAAGUGAUAUGAUAUGGCCAUCAUCAUCUUGUGCUUGUGAUCUCCAUCUUCGAAGCACCGUCAUGAUCACCAUUGUCACUGGCGCGACACCUUGAUCUCCAUCGUAGCAUCGUUGUCGUUACACCAUCUAUUGCUUCUACGACUAUCGCUACAACUUAGUGAUAAAGUAAAGCAAUUACAGGGCGUUUGCAUUUCAUACAAUAAAGCGACAACCAUAUGGCUCCUGCCAGUUGCCGAUAACUUCGGUUACAAAACAUGAUCAUCUCAUACAAUAAAAUAUAGCAUCACGUCUUGACCAUAUCACAUCACAACAUGCCCUGCAAAAACAAGUUAGACGUCCUCUACUUUGUUGUUGCAAAUUUUACGUGGCUGCUACGGGCUGAGCAAGAACCGUUCUUACCUACGCAUCAAAACCACAACGAUAGUUCGUCAAGUUAGUGCUGUUUUAACCUUCGCAAGGACCAGGCGUAGCCACACUCGGUUCAACUAAAGUUGGAGAAAGAUACACCCGCUAGUCACCUGUGUGCAAAGCACGACGGUAAAACUAGUCUCGCGUAAGCGUACACGUAAUGUCGGUCCGGGCCGCUUCAUCCAACAAUACCGCCGAACCAAAGUAUGACAUGCUGGUAAGCAGUAUGACUUGUAUCGCCCACAACUCACUUGUGUUCUACUCGUGCAUAUAACAUCAACGCAUAAAACCUAGGCUCGGAUACUACUGUUGGGGAACGUAGUAAUUUCAAAAAAAUUCCUACACACACGCAAGAUCAUGGUGAUGCAUAGCAACGAGAGGGGGAGUGUAUCUUCAUACCCUUGAAGAUCGCUAAGCGGAAGCAUUUAUCAACGCGGUUGAUGUAGUCGUACGUCUUCACGAUCCGACCGAUCCAAGUACCGAACGCACGGCACCUCCGAGUUCUGCACACGUUCAGCUCGAUGACGUCCUCGCCUUCUCGAUCCAGCAAGACGGGCGAAGUAGUAGAUGAGUUCCGGCAGCACGACGGCGUGGUGACGGUGUCGGUGAAGAACAAUCUCCGCAGGGCUUCGCCUAAGCACUACGGAAACUAUGACGGAGGAUAAACUAGAGGGGACGGGGUUGCCGACACACGGCUUGGUGUUUCUUGAUGUGUCUUUGGUGCUAGCCCUGCCCCUCUAUUUAUAUGUUGAGCCUUGGGGUCGAAACUUGGAGUAAAAGCCUCCACAAAGUCGGUUUCACCCGAAAGGCAAGAGUCCUUCUCGGACUUCAGGGCCAGACGCCAGGGUUCCCGGCGUCUGGACCCAGACGCCAGGGACCCUGGCAUCUGGCCCUUGGACUCCGCAAAACUUCCUUUUGCGCUUUCCAAAAACCUUGUGGGCUUUCCCCUUUGGCCCAAAUAACGUGUUCUCGUAUCCAAACAUUUCGGGAAACAUCCGGAACCCCUUCCGGUGAAUUCCGGAACUCUUCCAGAGAUCAAACACUAUUAUCCCAUAUAUCAAACUUUAUCUCCGGACCAUUCCGGAGUUCCUCGUCAUGUCCAUGAUCUCAUCCGGGGCUCCGAACAACAGUCGGUUACCAACAUACAUAACUCAUAUAAUACUAUAUCGUCAACGAAACGUUAAGCGUGUGGACCCUACGGGUUCGAGAACUAUGUAGACAUGACCUAGAACUUGUUUUCGGUCAAUAACCAAUAGCAGGACCUGGAUGCCCAUAUUGGCUCCCACAUAUUCUACGAAGAUCUUUAUCGGUCAAACCGCAUAACAACAUAUGUUGUUCCCUUUGUCAUCGGUAUGUUACUUGCCCGAGAUUUGAUCGUCGGUAUCCAAUACCUAGUUCAAUCUCGUUACCGGCAAGUCUCUUUACUAAUUACGUAAUGCAUCAUUCCGUAACUAACUCAUUAGCUACAUUGCUUGCAAGGCUUAUAGUGAUGUGCAUUACCGAGAGGGCCCAGAGAUACCUCUCCGACAAUCGGAGUGACAAAACCUAAUCUCGAAAUACGCCAACCCAACAUGUACCUUCGGAGACACCUGUAGUACUCCUUUAUAAUCACCCAGUUACGUUGUGACGUUUGGUAGCACCCAAAGUGUUCCUCCGGUAAACGGGAGUUGCAUAAUCUCAUAGUUACAGGAACAUGUAUAAGUCAUGAAGAAAGCAAUAGCAAUAUACUAAACGAUCAAGUGCUAGGCUAACGGAAUGGGUCAUGUCAAUCACAUCAUUCUCCUAAUGAUGUGAUCCCAUUAAUCAAAUGACAACACAUGUCUAUGGUUAGGAAACAUAACCAUCUUUGAUUAAUGAGCUAGUCAAGUAGAGGCAUACUAGUGACGUUAUGUUGGUCUAUGUAUUCACACAUGUAUUAUGUUUCCGGUUAAUACAAUUCUAGCAUGAAUAAUAAACAUUUAUCAUGAAAUAAGGAAAUAAAUAAUAACUUUAUUAUUGCCUCUAGGGCAUAUUUCCUUCAGUUGGCCCAAGCGGCACAUGAACACGGCGUUUGGUUGCAUACGACGUACAUGGUGUGCUUACCUUGUAUCCUAGUUGGUGAGCUUAGCCACAACGAUCAUACCUAGCACACCAACGCCACAGCACAACAAUGAUGAUGAACUGGCGAAGAUGAUGAAGUUCUUCAGCUUCAGCCCAAACUGACGAUCCACCUUAGCAUCUUCCACUUUGAACCUCCAACCUUGCUACUGUCAACACUGCUGCUUUUGCACCCAGUCGGAGUAAGUUUGUUCUGCUGUCUGCCUAGUCUUGAACCCUCUAUGGCUGCUGUUGCUAUACGACGCCACUUGUGCACUGACUUCUUCCCAUGAACUGUAAACCCCUGGAGCCUUACUGAUGAACACGACAUACCACUUGCCCUAGCAAUGCACAAGAGCAAGAGUUGAAACAGCAAAACAAUGAAGCACACAAGUAGCAAUCAAAAUAGCACACAAACAAUAAUGGAGCAAAAGAGAAGAAGUAAAGCAUGCAUGAUCAUACGGCAUAGCAAGUUCUGCCUAGCACUACCAUGGUGUUAUCCUACCACCACAUACAAAAGAGGGUAUCGUCCUACCACCGCAAGUUCACCAUCAUCUUGAGGGGUUAGUAUAUACCCCCUCACCAAAAUAUACAGACCAUCAAUUAGUUUUCUAGCCCUAGCUACACAAAAUGUACGCCAUCAUCGUCAUCGUCGUCAUCGUUGCCACUGCCAUCGGCAUCACCGCCAGGGAUCAUGAACACUCACAUGCAUCACUACUCUAGUAGUAGUGCUUGCCCAGCCAGCUCCUGAGCCACAACACCCUGUGAGCAUCUGCCAUGGCAACGAACCCAACACCCUCAAGCAGGUGGCUGAGAGCUGCCAUGAGAGCCUCGUUGCUGAAGCCACCCUGGGUCAUGACAGCGCCAUACAAACUAGGGUGGACAUUGAGGGGCUUGCACUUCUUGAUGGUUGUUGCCACCUCCUUCACCGCCUCAGUCAUGCUGCAAAAGAAAUUGAUCUCCUCCUCCAUCAGGCCUCAUCUCUUCCUCUUCCUAUCAUGGACGGGGUCGAAGGGCUUGUCGAAGGGCUUGUCAGGGCCAUCAAAGUCCUCAACGUCCGGGGUCCCAGGGAAGUAUGGCAUGGGAAAACCAAGAGGCUCCCCCGAUCCCAUGGCAUGCUUCCCAGUUGCCAGCCCAAAGGAGAAGAUGUGCUGCAUCUGACUGUAGUUCUGUAUGGGUAUGUUGAGGAACUCAGCGUCCCUUGGGUGGUCCUAAGAAUGAAACACAAGUGUUGUUAGUUGUGAUUAGCAGUAGGCAAUGGUGGACAGUAUGAAAAUGAAGAGGUCUGUGAGCUAACAGCGACAUGGCGGGCGUAGUGCUCUGCCUCCAGAACUAUGGAGCAAGUGUUCUCAUCCAAUGAGCUGCCGCUAAGGUCUCUCAGCUUGGACACUUGGAUCCAUCGACAUCUCCACUUCCUCAGGUGGUUGUACACCUGGGUGGCGGACACCUCCUGCCCACAGAACUUGAACACCUGCUUCACAACGGUGUUCAAGUGCGCCUCCUUGAAGCCCUUGUCAUUAAUUUCACUAGAGAUGAGCUCACACAUCUUGUUCAGCACAAACGUGAACAUGAAUGGCUGCCACUUCAUGUUGUUCGACCUACCAUCCUUCUUUGCCUUUGCUGUUGGUACCUUGAGUGCAGCGACGACAGCAACAACAAGAGGAGUUUGCUCAAUGAGCACUACUGGCACAUAGACAGAAUCAGAUGCGAACACCUCUGAAUUAGGUGCCAUUCGGACAUAGGCUGUGAGUCCUCGACAAACGAUGGAGCAAACUGGAUGUCGGACAGGACAAGGGCCUGACUAAGAUCUUGCGUCUGCAUGGUCAUGUCCUACAAUCGUAGCACGCAUUGACAGUAAGCAUAGCACACAACAUACUGGACAAUCCAUGAAAGCAGGAGCAUACAUGUACAUAGUUCAUCACUAUCAUACCAAGCACAUGCUUCAUCACUAUCAUAGUAAGCACAUGGUUCAUCGCUAUCAUACUAAGCAUACUGGACAAUCUAUGAGCAGGAACAUACAUAUACAACAAACAUCAUGCUACAAAUGGACCAUCAAUAGCUACAAAUCACAGAUCUAAGCACAAAUCAACACAAAGCACAAGGUUCAACUUCAAACUCUACUACUAAUCUAGCAUACCACAUGCUUGAACAUCUAACCCUACCACAAAUUUGCAACCGCAGCAUAGCAAUCAACCAUAUGAGCUCAUAGAUCAGAGCACUAAUCAACCAUGCAUCUACAUCAAAUCCUAGCUGCAGCUCAGAUCUAGCUAGAAGGAACAGAGAGAAAGGGGGAUUGAACUCACAGAGGCCAUGGCUGCAGCUCGAGGACGAGGGGAGAACGGUCGUAGAAGAUCACCGCCGGCCGGUGAAGGACCGCCGAUGCCAUGGACCAUCGCCCGAUAAAGAUGCGCUGCUUACCUGCUCGUCGGUGCUGAUGCGCGUCGGCGGGAAAGCUCGAAGGGAGGAAGAAUGGUGGCGGGAGUUGGGGCGGUGAGGGAGGGGCUAAAUAGAGGCGGACUCGGGGAGGUGAGCCGAAAUCCUCCCGUAGAUUUUUCGGCGACGCGGGCAAGCUCGCGCCAUCUCCCUGGUCGCACGAGGAGAGAAGCACGCCGCCCUCCCCUGCGUCGCCCAAGCCAGGCUCGCGAGCUACUGCCGAUUCGGGCAUUUCCACUGGGCCUGGCCUGGAGGUGCUUUAAGGUUCGUGCCAUGCGGGCCGCACAAUAAACGCAGGCAACCAAUCGGGUCACUUUCUUCCCGCGCGGGCCAGGCUGGGCCAUAUGCAGGCAACCAAACACGCCCUAGUUGACGAGGAUAUGGCGUCUGAGCAUUGCCAACUAGGCAAGGGGUGGGCACACCAUCUCUGGAUGGGCCAAAUCAACCACUCGAGCCAAGGCUCGAACCGGUUGCCCCACCAUCCAGUGGGCCAUGACCAUAGUUUUAAAUAGCCGGCUAUAGCUCCGCUAUAGCCCGCUAUAUAGCCUUUUUAGUAGGGUGCCGCUAAAUGGUUCCAUGUAAAAAUAGCCCGCUAUAGCCUGCUAUAGUCCGCUAUAGCUCCGCUAUAACUGAUUUUGUGGUCCGCCACUAUUUGGCAAUAGCCCGCUAUUUAAAACAUUGGCCAUGACAAACAGAUGUCCAUCGGCAUACGACAUGGCCCGGUCCAAUCCGGUGACACAAGCCCACUUUAUUAGUCUGACCCGAGCCAUGUAACCCUAUCUCGACUAGCUAUAUACAAUGACUGGGACAUUUCUGGAGGGAGGGGGUCUAACACAUUCGAGAGCCGUCAAGUGAUAGGAUUUUGCACCUACCCCUUCUUUCUUAGCAGCCACCGUGGCUAGGAACUUGUAAUCCAAUAAAGACCUCUCUCUAACGAUCUUACCUAUCGACGGUGAGCACUCGAGCAAUACAACCAUCAUAUCAAAAAUUAGGGUGUUACCUAACCAGGGAGGGACCGAACCUGGGUAAAUUGCUUGUCUCCGCUACCACAAUCUCGAUCUGCCACUCUCACCCCAUCCGUAAAAAUUUGUCAUCACUUGAUGGUAUUCCCGGUCUCAGAACACCGACACUAGCCCCAGCCCCCAUCACCCCAUCUUCUCCCUUCUCUCAUCCCCGUCGUUGGGAGAUGCCUCUAGGCAAAGCUGAAGCGACAUUGGCGGUGGUGGCCCUUUUUUCCUCAGAUGAUGCGGAGUCGCGUGGGGCCACUAGGCAUCGACAGAGGUGAGGGUUCAAGCUUGAGAACUAAUUAGUGCGGAGCCGCCACCGAAGCAUGGUGCCAGCUAUCACAGAGGUGCAUGUGUGUCGCAUGGUGCCAAUCACGGAGGUGCGGGUGAGUCGCAUGAUGCCAAUUAUCAUGGAGGCAUGGACACGGGCUGGAUCGACUACACACUAGCAUUGAAUGCUCGGUGGUAUGAUGGUGUGGAUACGGUGGUCAGCUACACGUGGAACCACAAACCUGCAUGUUGACGAGUAUCGACUGUGGCGGUUGGCCAGAUGUGACUCCACCGCGGGUACAUAUCUAGACUCAAGCUGGUCGCGGCGUCCGGACGACAAUAUAGUGGCGUGGUUUGAAAGGUGUUACUGUGGCGCUCAUGGAUACCACCGAUGAGACGGUGGUGCGACAGUGACAGGAAGCGAUACGAUGACAUCUUUUCUUCAUAUGAAAUCUCCUUUAGCUAGCUAGUUUUGUGUGAGAAGAGAUAGAUUAUAUUGUUGGCAAUUGAGAUCGAGGUUGUAUUUCUCUCUUGGUAAGAACCAUGAUUUAGUCUUUUUCUUUGGCCAGAUUAGGCACAAUAGAUACAUGUGCUCACGUUGUAUAUUUAUUGAAUGUGUUGGCUUGAAGUUUUGCUUUGGGGUCUCUUUGUUUUCAGUGCCUUGGAUUUGGUUAACCAGUCGGGUGAGCGAUGAUUCCUUCUUGAAGACAUUGUCUUGGAAUCUUAUGCCAUUUGUUACCUUACAUGCUGCUUGACCAUUGGACUAUAGUCCAUUGUCUUAGGUUUCCGACUUUUCGUAGAAUGUAUGGAUUUUAUCGCUAGUUGGUCUAUUGUCCAUGGUACCCUUUUUGGCCUUUAGGACGGCUUUGAUUAGGACCGUUUUUCUUAACAAAUAAUAAUACUACUAUUUGACAAUGUUUGUGCAUUAAUUGACGCUGAGGCCUUUAUUUGUUUUAAAAUAUAGCUUCAUAUUUCAAAUUUCUAAAACACAAAAGCUGAAAAGGAGCGUGAGACAAACAUGCCGUCCUGGAAGCGAACUAACCUUUGUUGCCAUGUUUUCAUUUAGCCUAUCGAUCUACAUGCACCAGUCGUAGUGGACGGUGGUGGAAGCACGAUCAAGCAUUCUCUCACGUCCUCUGGCGCAAAGACCUAGUACACCAGUGCUUGGUUUGGUUUGGUUUGGUCGAGUCCACCACGAAAUCGGGUCAAGAGCUCGCUAGCCAACUCACCAACCUUCCUUCACGCCGGUCGCCAUAUACCACCGGGUCACACACACACACGCUUUUGUCUAAUUUUCCUUGAACACGUACACCACCAGGUCCGUGCGUCCAGUCCACAACCGUACACAUAUUUAUGAAAAAAGUCCAAAACAAACCUUAAACUUAUAGACGAAAGCUAAAUCAAACCCUGAACUUUCAAUCCCUGAAAUCAGCACAUCGAACUUUUCGAUCCCGGCCUAUUUCGAACCUUGGAGGGUGUUUCACUGGUAUUCGCUGACGUGGCAGGUGAAAUUGGGCCAGCCCAUUAGAGUAGUCACUCAGUUCUGGUUUUAAUUGUUUUUUUGUUUUUUUAUUUUAUUUUCUUCGGCUUUCUUUUUUCCUUCGCUAUAUUUUUGUUUAUUUCCUGAUUUUUUCCGUAUUGUUUGCUUCUUCCUUUCUUUUUGUUUCUUUAUUGGUUUCAACUAAAAAAAUGUACACCUGUCUAUUUUUUCUCAGUACACAGAGUACAUUUUUAAUACACAUAUGAGAAAAAAAAUUGGCACACUAUUGACAUAUUUCAAAUACAUUAUGUAUAUUUUUUAAUUUCAACACUUAUUUGAAUACACAAUGACGUUUUUCCACAUACACGUUCAACAUUUUCUUAAGACAUUUUUUUUUAUAAAACUAUACAAACAUUUUACAUUGUUUAAAAUGUUGCGCCCAUUUUAAAAAUUCAAAAGGUGUUUGGACUUUAAAAUUUUGUUUUUCAAAAAAAAUAUGUUUCAAAAAGUAUUCAAUUUUUCAAAACUGAUUCUGUUUGAAAAAGUUUUUCACCUUUUAAAGAUUAUUGAGAAUUUUUCUCACUCAUCUGUUCAGGUUCCAAUAGUUGGCCCCGUUUUAAAAAAAUCAAAAGUGUUCGGACUCUAAUUGGUUUUUCAGGUUUUGAAAUUUGUUCCCAUUGUUUAAAAUAUGUUUAUGUUUCAAAAAGUGUUCAUUUUUUAAAAUUGAUUCUGUUUUAGAAAAGUUAUUCUUUUUUUAAAAAUAUACAGUGCUUUUUCACACAUCUGUUCAGGUUUCAAAAGUUGCUCCCAUUUUUUAAAUUUUCAAAAAGUGUUCGCACUUUAACAUAUGGUUCAGGUUCAAAAUUGUUUAUUUUCAAACAGUGUACCCUUUUUCAAAAUUGAUUCUGUUUUCAAAAUGAUGUCCUUUUUAAAACAGUAUUCAGAAUUUUUAAAAAGUAGUCGCACUUUAGUUAUUUUCCAGAGAUUUCACAAAUUGUUUACAUUCUCCAUAUUUGUUUGCCCUUAGAAAUGUUUCUUCUAAUCUCGACGUUACAGUCUGUUGUUAAAUAUUUCGGGCGUCUCAAUAUAACAAUGACUGCCAUCUGUUGUAGCGGCUUGCGUGAGCGUUCAGUAGUGCCAGGUCUCAAGUUCGAUCCCUCUGUGUUGUCUAUUUUUGCGUCGUGCGUUAUGAAGAAAGAACUUGCUUUGCACGUGGUGGCCCGGUCCAAUAACAGUUGUCGGUCUUUUUACAUCACGUAUUGUGAAAAAAAAAUAGACCGAAAAAAGGGAAAAUAAAAAGGAAAUCUCGCUUUGCGCCUGUUGGGCCGGCCCAGUCGCGUUCGCAAUGAACAGUCCCGGUAUUAAACCUGCCACAUCCAUAAUCCCUGUUUGGGAACGCACUCAAUGUUCAAAAUAGACCGGGAUCGUCAAGUUUGGUGUGCUCAUUUCAGGAAUGGGAAGUUCAGGGGUCGAUUUAUCUCUCGUCUACAAAUUUAAGAUUUAUUUUGGACUUUCUCCCAUAUUUAUCGAAAUCAAAUCAAAAUUCAGUCGCAAAAUGAAAAUCAACCAGGGAGAACCCGACAACGGGAAGAGUAGCAGGCGAGCGGAUGCACCAGAGAGGAGACGAAAGCGACGUGCUAGGAAAAGAGGAGAGAGGCUGCGCGGAAUUCCGACGCCAACCCCAACCGAGAAUACGGUCUGGUCGCCGGUGCGGUGUGACGAGACGACCGACGUCGACCCGCCCAUGUUUCCACGCCGCGAAGCUCCCCCGAAACCCGCUGAAAACCACCCGCGCGCGCGCACGACAAUUCCAUCACUCUCACGAGGCACGAACCGGCGACCGCUCGGUCGGUCCGGCGUUUCCACCACGCCUCCCUGCUUCCGGGAACCUUCCUCGCUCCCGGCUUUCUUCCCGAGUCCCGGCCGUCGUCCCCCUUCCAACUUCUUUCCCGCCUUCUCGCGAGUCUACCAGAGACCCGGCUAUAUAUGCCAAACCUUGGUGCUCUGCAAAUAGCAUCCAGCACGCAGCGACCAGCGAGAAUUCUCAUCUCAGAGGCAAGCAAGAAGCACCAAGGCAACAAGAGCAGAGGAAGCAGACAGAGAAAGGCACAGACAGAGGACAUAGACAUGGACAUGGCAGCAUCUUCCUCGGCGCCGGGCGCGUCCUACUUCAUCUUCAACUUCUCCGUGGCGCCGGCCGUGGUGGUCAUCUCCAUCAACGUCAUCCUCGUCUGGCUCUCCGCCCUCGUCAAGUCCUCCUCCUCAUCCUCUUCUUCGUCCUCCACCAGCCGCCGCUCGGCCGCCCCCGCUCCGGAGCAGGAGCCAGCGCAGCCAGCGCCGGCAAGUGGCGCCUCCGAGGUCGACCUGGACGUGGUUCUCGGGGUGAUGGGCGCGGGCAGCGCUGCCUCGAUCGGGUUCGAGGAGGCGGCCAUCCUGUUCGAGGAUGACGAGGCCACCGUGGAGGAGGCCGCGGCGGCGUUCCGCGUCUUCGACCGCAACGGCGACGGGUUCGUUGACGCCGGAGAGCUCCGGAGCGUGCUGAGAUCGCUCGGGUUCACCGCCGGCGUCGCGGCCGCGGAAUGCCAGCGCAUGAUCGACGCCUAUGACGAGAACAAGGACAGCCGGAUGGACUUCCAGGAGUUCCUCAACUUCAUGGAGAGGAGCAGCUCGUGAAGUGGCCGCCGGCGUCCGACGACCGAUGAUUUGCUCGAUUCAUUUGUUCGUUCGUUCUGCUUACUUGUCCUUUUUCCGGCCCGAAUGGAGCCGAAUGGUGCACCGUAUGUAUUUACUCCGAUUCUUUACACAAUACAUAUGCUUUUUAGAGCAUCUCCAACAGACCCCGAACGCGGCGCGCGCAAAAAACAGCUUUAGCGCGUGCCCAUCGCCUGGUUUGGCGCGGCGCACUGCGCCCGCUCUAGCAGCCGCGCUAAAAUGCUGCUGUGCGCGCGCUGCUCCAGCAGCGCGCAAAAAAUGCAGCGCGUGCGCUCGUUCUACAAACUAGAAAUGUAGGCAUUGAAAGCAGAAAUUUUAAAAAAACUAGAUAGAUUGCAUAGAUUUUAACGAUACAAAGGUAUUUUACAUCCGAAACAUAGAUUGCAUAAAUAAAAAUGACAAACGAUAAAAAAUAUAAAUUGCAUUAAAAAAACUACUCUAAGUCGCUAUCAUCAUCACCACUAUCAUCCUCGGCAGUGUCGUCCGAGGUAGUUAGCCAGAUGUCCAGCCACCGCUCAUCGUUCGACGUGAAGAACGACUGCCCACCUGCUGCAACGAGGUCGGAAUGCGCAUUCGCCAACGCCUUCCGCUGACGCUUGUACAACCGCGUCGCGCGGCGCCUUCGUGUGUCCUACUCGCGGCGCCUUGCCCAGUAGGCCUGCUCGUAGGCGACGUCCUCCGGGUGGCGCUGGCGCCACUCCGCCGUGACCCGCUCGUCCUCCUGGGCGAUGAGGAGGCGGCGUUGCCGCUCGGCGUGCUCCGCACGGUCUUCCGUCGUGUUCAGACGAGACAGAGGGACGAAGUUGAGCGCUUGCUGGAGCGUGUACACAUCUUGGAAGUUUAUCUGGCCGCGCGGCCGGCCUAGGCGCCACGCCGCCGCGUCGUACGCGCGGGCAGCCUCGCGCGCCGUCCCGUACGUGUCGAGGCCGAGCCGGAGUUCACCGGAGCGUAUCUCCGCGGAGUAGUUGCCGUUGGGGCGCAGACGGACGCCGCGGUAGCCGGACGCUCCUCGGCGGCGCGUCGGUGGCGGGGCGCUGGAGCGGCGCGUGGCAGAGAGGGAGAGGAAGAGGAGAAUAGGAAGCGUGGAGAAGGCGCAUGGCGCGCGCAACACUUUUAUAGACGCGCGCGAAGCGGCGCGUUAAAUCUUGCGCGUGAGCUGGCGCCUUUUCGCGCGCGCGCAAACGGUUCCCGCGGGCGCUUGUUUCCCCGCUGGAGCGUGGCAAACCGCCCCACGCGCGCGCAUCGUUUGGGGCGGCCAUUGAAGAUGCUCUUAGGCAUUGUAUGAUGGGACCAUGUAUUAGCCAUGGAGCUAAAGAAUAUUUUCACCAAAUCAGUUUUCUUUGACGAAUCAUAUCUCGGCAUGGUUCUACCACUGCAUUCAACUUUUGCAUUACAUCAACUUUAAUGACACGGCCCUCGCAAAAGAAAAAAAAACUUUAAUGACACAGAGGCCGGGCCGCUUCGUCAUUUCAGCAACUAAUUUCUUGACCCAUGCCAUAUGUUCUCAUCGUACUAUCACGAUGUGAAUAAUUGUUGCUUGUAACAUGAAUAUGUCAACAGUCAACUGCAAAUAAUGUAUCACCACAUACCAUGGACGCUAUCUAGUAGUACAUGGCUAGAAGCCUAGAACCAUCAUGUUCAAUUCUGUUUUGGCUCGCAUGUUUAAUUCUAUUUUGAAUGUGGAUAGGCCUUAGUCGAUUAAGAUUUAAUUAAGUCUUAGUUAAAUGACAUAAUAACAUAUAUGAAAAGAUAAAUUAAAAACCUUUUGCACGAAUCUUCACACAAGAUCGAACGAAUAUAGCAUCGACAGAGACAUAACCAAGUCUCAGUCGACUGAGACUUAGCAAAACUAUUCUGUUUUGGCUCGCUUGUUGUCUUUUGACAUGUCUAUGUUCGUGAUGAAUAACUCUUGUGGAAAAAGGGGAUAAACAUAGAAGAAAAUUUACGUGGAAUAAGAAUCACAUGGUUCGAUGCACGAGGGUGUGUAUAGAUUCUCGUGGCAGUAUUGGCACAGGAUUCCUUUAUCAUGCCUCAGAAUUUUAUUUUAAAAAUCGGACCCGAUUGCAAAUUUCCUGGCAGAAGUCCGCCCGUCAGACGGAGGAGCCGAAAUGGAUGGGCCAAUUUUGAACGCAGUAGGCCCACUUCCACCUCGUAGCCGGGCUCAGUCAGGUCAGUCCAUUGCUGUGGCCUUGUAGGAUUCCCUUCCGCCUGGUCUUCGCACCUGAGACGGGGGAGAUGCGGAGGCCGUCGGCUUCGUCGCCUCCGGCGAGGGGCCCGGCGUUGGCCGCCGCAGCCGCUGUCGUGCUCCUCCCGGCUAUUUUCCCCGCGCUGUUCUCCCCGCUCGGCCGCGCCUUCCCUUCCCUAUUCUCGGUGCGCCCCCUAUAGUCCCAUCCUCCUCUCCAGGCGGUUCGAUUUGAGCCGGUGUAGCGUCGUAUUGGCGAUCUUCUGCUUUUCUAGCUGCUUCCUACGCCCCUCCUUGCUAGUUUGCCACUUUGGCGAGUCCGAUUAUUUGGGGUGCGCGAAAAUUGGAUAUAAUCUAGACGGAUUGGUACUGUUGGGGGAGGAAUGUAUGUGGAAGGUGAAAUGAUGUGGUGAAUUCAUGACUCCCUUUCCUGUUGAAUUGGAAGUGCGAAAUUACAUUUGUUUAUUUGGCGUAUGUAUGGCGAUGCAGAGUUACCUGUAAAUAAGCAAAGUGUGCAACCUGUAAAUAAGCAAAGUGUGCAAGAUCUGGAUUCUUUUGGUGGAUAGCAUCAUGCCAGUUGCAUAGAAUAUUUUGGUUUGGACAGUGGUCUACAAUAUGUGAUUACUAGAUUUUAUAUGCAAUUUGUGGCAGUGUGGGACUGUACUCAGCUACCAUGAGUCCAUGACAGUAUUGGGAAUAACAUAUGUACUGGAUUAGUACUAUGGCUAUGAAGAUAGAUUGGCAACUCAAGUGGACCUUAGUAAAUAUUUCUGCAAACUGCAAUAUUAUAUUUUUAAGAUUAAUCAUGUGGACAAUGUGUAUGACUGUGUAUUGCAGGAGUGGAAUGCCCCUAAGCCAAUGCACGAGUCUCUUUUGAAUGAGUCUUUGCGAUGGACAAUAGUGAGUAUUCAUAACUCAGAUAAAAACUGGAAAUAGAUAUGUUGAAGUAUAUUUAUAACUUGCUUUCUGUACAGCCAGAUGAACAAAAGAGAGAUCUCUGGACACCCUUGCCUGAUCAGGGGUGGAAACCAUGCAUAAGACCAUCGAUUACUCGUGGUAACACUCUGAGAUAACAUUGUUAUGUAAUGAUAUGCCUCCAGCUGCGACAGAUCACUAAGCAUUUGGUUAUAUAAAGUGUAGGAUUACCUUCCGAACCUAGUGGGUACAUACAAGUAUUUCUUGAUGGUGGCCUGAACCAGCAAAGAAUGGGGGUAACACACUUUUCAUGUACCAGAUUCAUGAUGUUAGAUUUAAGACAACUGCUUGGUUGAGAUUUUAGAUCAUCUGGCUCUUACUUUUUGUUCUCUAGAUAUGUGACGCUGUUGCGGUUGCUAAGAUUCUGAAUGCUACUCUUGUGAUCCCACAUCUUGAAGUAAACCCUGUUUGGAAAGACUCAAGGUGCUUUUGAAGUUUCAGAGUACUACUGUAUCUUGUUAGUUUUUAUAUUCUCCUGUUAAAUUGGAAGUGAAAGUUUUAGUUGUGCUGCAGCUCAUUCGGAGAUAUUUUCAAUGUGGAUCACUUUAUCAACACCCUAAAAGGCGAGGUUUCAAUAGUGAGAACUCCACCAAAAGAAUAUUCGUGGAGCACAAGAGAGUUCUAUGGCACAGGAAUACGUGCUACAAGAAUAAAAACUGCACCUGUUCACGCCUCAGCUGAUUGGUAUAUAGAGAAUGUCAGUCCUAUCCUGCAAAGGUUUGUGAUUUCUUUGGUCAUAUAGUCACUUCUCUAGACCCCUUGAGUAAGUGAAGAUCUGCAGUACCCUUUGUACUGACACAUGUUGCAAAACUAAACUACUACUCUCUCCAUUCACAAAUAUAAGAUGUUCUAACUUUUUUCUGAAUCAGACGUAUGUACACACGUUUUAGUGUGUUUGUUUACUCAUUGCAGUCCGUAUGUAGUCCAUAUUUAAAUAUCCAAAAAAUCUUGUAUUUGUGAACAGUGGGAGCAUUUGACAUAUAUUGCGUGGCAUAAUAAUGCUAAGAAACUGCAGUUCAUGUUUAGCCCAGGUUGAUGACCACUGAACAGGCUUUAUCGCAUUAGCAUUAUAGUUUGUGGUCUAACUUCAAUAGUUGGUUACUUUGUGAGGGGAAUCCUUCACCGAGAAUCUCAUGUACGUGUUGCUUCCCUUGUCAGCUAUGGCAUUGCAGCCAUUGCCCCCUUUUCUCACCGCCUUGCAUUUGAUGAUUUGCCUGUGGACAUUCAACGUCUGCGCUGUAAAGUUAACUUUGAAGCCCUGGUUUUUGUGCCUUACAUUAUCUCACUGGGGAGGACCCUUGAGAAGCGCUUGAGAUCUCCAGUCCAGGGGCAUUCCACUGAAUUUGCUCAACAAGUUGUAGAAGAAAACACAGAUCAGGAUGGGAAGUACGCAGUUUUACAUCUCCGCUUCGAUAAGGUAAAUGGAAGGGCUUCUGCAAUAUUUGGAAGUCAUAUGUUUAAUUUUUUGUUCUCUUCAGGGAAUUGCCACUCUGAAACAUUUCAAGCUGACCUACAUUUUUCAGGACAUGGCUGCACAUUCUGCCUGUGACUUUGGCGGUGGUAGAGCUGAAAAAUUAGCUCUGGCUAAGUACAGGCAAGUUAUCUGGCAAGGGAGGGUAUUAAAUUCACAGUUAAGUGAUGAGGAGCUUCGAAACACAGGACGCUGCCCGUUGACUCCAGAAGAGAUUGGGUUGAUACUAGUAGCGCUUGGCUUUGACAGCACAACUCGAUUUUAUCUUGCCUCUCACAAGGUUUGACUCUCUGUGCGCUUACUUAUUCUCCAUAGUGGAAGUAGAAAGUUCUAACAUACAUCACCUAUUAAGGUAUAUGGAGGGGAAGCUAGGAUCUCUAGCCUGCGCAAACUUUUCCCGCUGAUGGAAGACAAGAGGAGCCUUGCAUUGGCAGAUGAACUUGCUAAUGUUGAAGGGAAGGCUUCUGUGCUAGCAGCUCUUGACUACCAUAUCAGCAUGCACAGCGAUGUUUUCAUCUCUGCUUCUCCUGGCAAUAUGCAUAAUGCACUGGUAAAUCCUGUUGUCUUUUGCUGUAUUCGCGAGAUUUCUCCUCUUUCUUUAUUGGUCCUGACUAGAUGAUGGUUGAUUCAGCUGGCCCACCGGGCCUACAGGAAUUUGAAGACGAUAAGGCCAAACAUGACAUUGCUUGGCCACAUAUUUGUGAACAAGAGCAUGGAGUGGUCAGAGUUUCAGCAGGCUGUACAGGCAGGCCACAAAGGUAGAUACGGGCAGAUCCGGCUGAGGAAGCCGAAGCAGUCUAUCUACACUUAUCCUGCCCCAGAUUGUAUGUGCCAAGGGUAGAUUGCCAAGUUUCUGCAGUGCACCAACAAAAGAAAUGUGCUGAGUUACUUGCAGCUACUAAUUAGGAAAAGCUCAUGUGGAUACAUAUGUUAGUUCUGAAUUUCCAGUUGAAUCAGUUGGCUGCCUCUUCCAAUAGGAUCUUAAAUUUUAACCUAAAUUUACCCGUCCUGUCAUUGGCCCUUGAAGGACACUAAUCUUGUGCCGAUGCACAUUCCACACGACGAAGUUAUAGUUUUGUGACCGAUGUUGUAUAUCUGUGACUUGAUAUACUGGAUCCUUUUCUUUUUCUUCUUCUUUGAUUCCGCUGUUCUACAUCUGCGAGUCCGGUGUUUUAUGAAAUUAUGCUCUCAUUUACUAUUAUUACUACCAUCACAUCGAGUUCAGCACUAGUGCUUCAAACUAUAUUUUGCCAUGUUUAAAAUAACACGGGUGAUAUCACAGUGAGUUCGAGACUAAUGCUUCAAACUAGUAGUAUGUUUUGCCAUGUUUAAAAUAACACGCAUGGGUGAUAUUACAAGUACAGCCUCCAUUAGAAGCCAUGGGCGAAUCCACAAGAACAAAGUUUCACCACCGGAGCUUUAAGAUUACAACACAUUUUUGCACUGUCCACCUACUCCUCCACACUUUGUACAUCCUCAGCACCCCAAAAUAACAAUUCAGACCGCCUGAAACCUCCCCGGUCGGUGAAAUCGACGGAUUUAUUGGCCGGAGAUGGUCUGGAUGAUGGUGUUGUGCCAUGGGUCGGCCAGGUGCUGCUGCAGGUUCUCGAACGGCCCCUUCCCGGUCACGUUGUGCUGCACCAGGAACCCCAGGAACGCCAGCAUCGCCAGUCUCCCUGAACGAAUGGAAAAACAUCCAAAGAUUAACAGGAGCCGUCCGAUUAGAAAUUAACGACGGUGAAGCAAGCAGAGGAGCGAUGGACGUACCGUUGGCGAGCUCCUUCUCCUUGUUCUCGAGGGUGGGGGCGAAGUUGAGGGGGUUGAAGACGCUGCCGGGGUAGCCGCACUCGUGGGGCGGGAGGCUGUAGCUCUUGAAGAUGGGGUCCUGGUUGACGGAGCCCGGGUUCUUGAUGUCCUGCCACCGCCGGAUCUCCACGUAGUGGAAGAGGAUGAACUCGAUGACGAAGAGCGUGGAGGAGGAGGCGAAGUAG
rnacentral:lncRNA from 1 species